rnacentral:lncRNA from 1 species
UGUUGGGUCCUCCUCAAACUCCUCUUCAUCAUCCUCUUCUUCCUCUUCUGACUCUUCAUCAUCACCAGCCUCAUCCUCACUCUCGGGAGGAUUUUCCCUGUACUUGUUAAUCAACUCCUCAUACUGCUUGUUAUUCUUUUUCAGUUUCUGUUUCAUCGAAUUUAAGGCUUUAGCAUUACUACUACUCAUCUUCUUCUUUGCCUCCUUAUUGGCCAAAGCCUGACUCAAGAAAUCCUCCAGCAUCACUAGAGCUUUGAUAUAGAGAUUUGGUGCUUUAACUGAUUCUGUAAUGCGCAUGACCUUCUCCAGCUGCUUGUUGAUCUUAUCAAAGCUCUCCUGCAAGCUGACCCAGUCAUUAAUCUUCAUAGCAUUCUUCAUCUGAUCAACGGUAGCAGACAAUUCCUCAAAGCGCUUAUCCUUUGCUGACCGGACAACUCGCUUCUGUCCAUCUGACUCAUCACUGUCGCUGUCACCAGCUGCAAGGUAUCUUGACCCAGCUGCUGCAGUGGUAGUCUCAGCCGGCCCUUCAUCAUCCUCCUGCUCGUAAUCACUCUCCUCCUCCUCCUCGGUUUCACUAUCGCCCUGCAAAUACCAUAGUAUGAAUCAAUUAAAUAACACCUUCCCUAAACCCUUAUACUUUAUGCAGAAUGAGCUAUCCCCAACAGACUGCCAUAUACAAAAACAAACCACUCAUUCACAGCACCUUAAAUUUUCUAGGCUCACUAAGCAAUUCCUUCUGAACAGUUUAAGAUUAUAUUUCACAUCACACUGUUAACACAAACAAGUAAAUUGCUUUUCAGCAGAAUAGCUGGCAAAAAGUGUGAACAAAUACGGAUUAUCGUGAUUUGUAUCCAAAGGUCACUUAGACAUUGAAUAAUUGGAUUAUGAAAGCAAUUCAAAACAUCCAGAUGCAAGUAUCCAUUCUUUAUGUUCGGGCACUUCUUACAUCCAAUUCAAAACAACCAGAUGCAAGUACAAUCACAUAACAAUUUAUUAUGCCUCAAUCAAAAGCUAGCUGGGAUCGGCUAUAUGAAUUAUCAUUAUCCAUUUAGCUCUAUAUAGAGCAGAUUCAUUCCAAUAUUCAAUAAUUUAGGAUUAUCUAUCACUAGAGUUCUCAUAAAUUAAUUUUAAAAAAUAUCUUUAUCAAUAGUUAUCAAAAAAAAUAUAUCUUUACCACUGUAAAUUGGUGAAUAGAUUAUUUUACUCAUCCAAACACAUAAAGAAAGAACUGAAUCUUUAAUUGAGGUGAAAAAAUCAUUUACCUGAGUCCAAAAACGGGACGCCAUACUUCUUCAAAAAAUUCUUCGAGAAACGGAGAUAGAAUGAGCUGCAAUUACUCAAAACAAAAAUAAAAAAUCAGAUCGAGAAUAAAUCAACAAAUACUUCAGCGGUUUUACAAACACCAAUUUUGAAGAAGAAAAGAUUCGAACCUGUAAGCUGGAACUGUGGUUUACAGAAAGCUUAGCCGAGAAAGAGAAGAGGGAAUGGAAUUUUACAGUAAAAACCCUACAGAAUGAUAAGGGUUGGUCCGACUCAGCUUUUGGGCUUCUAUGGGUGGGAAUAUGAAGUCACUAAUCGAACAACGCCACGGCCCAAUGUAAUUCGUUUUGGGGAUUUUUACUUUUCCUAUGCUAUAUACGAAACUUUAUUACCCUCCCUGAUUAAGUUUUAACUUAAUUACAUGGGCAUAUAUAAUUUACCAAUUAUAUACAAUUAGUACUAAUAAGUAUCCCUUUAUAUUAUUAUGAAUUGAAUAGGAAUUUAUUUAUUUCCCAUCACCGCUCUCUCUCUUUAUCUCUCCCCGUCUCUCUUUCUCUCUCUCCGUUUCUCUCUCUCUUUCUAUCUUUAUCAGUUAUUUUCCCAAUUUUCUUCCUUCGUUUUUCUCCGCUUUUUAUUCUCUCUUUUUUCAGCAAUUUCUUUCAUGUUUUACAAUUAGUGUUCGAAUUAAAAUUGUCAAUCAAUAAAUUCUGAAAGCGUUUGAUUCUCCACCAUUGACAGCCAUUAAAAAGCUUCAAAACUAUGAUUUCGAAUUUGAGUUUUCAAAACUAUUAUUUGUUUGGAUUGGAUGUUGUUGCAAAUAAUUGGGAAUAUUCUUUGAAAUUUAUAUCUCAAUUUUAAGGGUGUUUGGUGAAGAUUAGACUUGAUUUUGGCAGAAUUUCAGAUUGAAACUCGAAGAAGAAAGAAAAGAAGAACACAUGACAUACAAUAUACUUACGAAAUUGUAUUAAAGUUGUAUGUAAAUUUUAUUUAAGUUAUAUUAUGUUGUAAUUAUAUUUUUUUUAUUUGAAUGUUAUAUGGAUGUUGAAAAAUAGUUGUAUAAUGUAUGAAUCAUUGUAUUAAAUUUGUAUUUAAGUUAUAAAUAAUAUCAUUUUACAUAAAGUUGUUGAUAUGUAUCAAAAUUGUUUUAAGAGAUUGAAGUUUUGAUUGGAAUUUUAGAGAGGAAGACCACAUCACUUACAAAAUAUAUACAAAUCAUAUACAAAAUACAGACAAACGACAUAUUGUAUAAAAUUUGUAUGAAAAUUAUAUUUAAGUUGUAUGAUGUUGUAGUUGUAUUUACCUGGGUAAAAAUAAUGUACGAAAGUUGUAAAUAAAUUGUAUACUAUAUAAUUACUUGUAUGAAAUUUGUAUUAAGUUUAUAGUAUAUUGUUAUAGAUGUAUCAUAAAGAUGGACAUAUCACAUUACACAAGCCUUUCUCUCUCCUCUUUCUCACUCCUCCAUCAAAAGUAGUGAUUCUUAUAGAAAUACUGUAUGUAAAUACAGAAAAUUACCUAUACAUUCCACCCAGAUUAUUGUACAAGUUUUAUAUUGUAUAUACAUAUAACUGCGCAUCAUCAUUCUCUGGUAAUAUGGCAAAAAAAUCUUUUAUCAUCACCUCUCUCUAAUAUUAAUUUAUAUUUUAUUUGUGCAAUUUAACCCUAGAUUUGUGUAAUACACCGUAAAUACGUGCAUCACGUAGUUGGGGAUAUGUUUUUUCUAUUGGGUAUUUAGAGUAAUUGUUGUUUAGAUAUCAGAAUGUGGGGUUUGAUCGGAACAACUUAGUUAAAUUUUGGUAUGAAAAUUAAUACCAAAGUUACGGUCAUCACUAGUUAGAGGAUAGGGAAAGAGGAGAGGAGAGAAAAAAGGAAAAAAGUAUAACUGAAUCCCUCAAUUUAAUCCACUAAUAAUGGAUUGUAUAUAAAUUGUAAGAAAAACUUGUUUAGGACCGGUAAUAUACAAAACUUGGACAAUUUGGUAAAUAAGUUUCAAAUAUUAUAUAGGAAGGAAAAAAUUCCUUUUGUUUUCGGGCAAAAAUCACUUUUCGUCCGCGGCAAAAAAUUAUUAUAUCUUAUAGCCGUAAAAAUAUAUAAAUUUUAUAUAUUUUUGUUAUAUAACACACACACACACACACACACACAUAUAUAUAUGAAUCAGAAAGAGCGGAGUCUUACUUAUUCAGGGGGAUGAAAGACAAAUAAAGGGAUCAUGGGAAUUUAUGAUCGGAGAAAGAGAAGGGGUGUGGUUGGUGUGUCACUGGGUUGGUGGGGGAACCCAUAGAAAGGGGGGACAUCCCGCAGAAUUCACAUCAGAAAUCGCCAACAUAAGACAAAGAAAAUCUUGAAUUGCUUAUAGAAACAAAAUGAACCACUUCUAUUCUCAGAGCUUUGAGAGUUGUUAUACAGUAUCAUUUUUCCUUUAUUUUUCUCCUUCUUUCUGUGAAUACAAACUGGCGGAAUAGCUAAAAACCCUAAACUUGACAUGAAUUAUUAGUUGUACCCUUAAAUUAUUUGAUAUUUAAUUACCCCAUUGAACUUAGGUAUUUGAUAGUCAUUACCCUCCUGAAUAUUGUUGGGAUACAAUCUCUUUUAUUUUUAUUAAUUUCUUGUAUAGAUAUAAUGUCUAGUUAUUAUAAUUGUUAUUUCUUUUUCAUCGAGUCAAAUUUGUGAAAAUUUGACUAGAAAUUCAUAUUUUAGCCAAAUAAAAAGUUAAAACUAAAACAAUAGAGUACCAAUUGUUAUUUCUCGUUAUUUUAUUAGAUAAUACUAUAACUAUUUAUUUCAAUUGUGUAUUUUUAUUUUCGAAUCAAAUCAAUAAAAGAACUUGGCUAUAGCUCCACUAUUUUUUAUUAAAUAAAAGAAAAUAUAGCCAAAAUAAUGAUCUUGCAAUUAUAUACUUCUCUUUUAUUUCUUUGUUAUAUGCUAUAGUUAUUUUAUAUUAGUUGUGUACUUCUCUUUGUUAUAUGCUAUACCUAUUUCUUUGGGGAUUAUCUACUCUUCAUAAAAUUUGAUAAAGGCCUGUGUGUGGACCGCAACGUCACCCUGAGCGAGAAUUUCAGGACCCAGCAUAAGCUCCUAAUCAUGGAUUUGGAGAUUAUGAGGAAGCGAAGAAAGAGGGUUAUGUUUGGUUUACCUACGAUCAAGUGGGGAGCUUUAGUUAACGACAGAUCUUAGGAGUUGGGGAUAGAUUGUUGACUAUGGGGGCAUGAAGGAGUAGUAGGCGCGAGUGGUAUGUGGAAUGCGACUCCGAAUUGCAUUAGAGAGACUGCUAGAGAGGUAUUGGAGGUCUCAAAGGGCUCCUCUGGUGGACUCUAUAAGGGGCUUGUGAUAAAGCACUGAGGUCCAAGGUAAAGUAGAAGCCAAGAAAGCGACAUAGUUGAAGUUUUUAGAGAGCGUGGAUGAGGAAGAGAAGAGGACGAAUAGGGAGCGGUAUAAUAUAGCUAAAAAGGAAGUGAAGUUAGCAGUUACAGCGGUUAAGACUGUCGCAUUUGAACGCUUGUAUGAAGAACUGGGAGGCAAAGGAGGAGACAAGAAGUUGUAUAAGCUAGCCAAGAUGCGAGAAAAAAGGCAUGUGACUUGGACCAAUUGAAGUGCAUCAAGGAUGAGGAAGGCAGAGUUUUGUUGGAUGAUGCACUUAUUUGACGGAGAUGUCAGACUUACUUUCAUAAACUCUUGAACUGAGAGAGGGAUAUAAACAUUGUGCUGGGUGACUUAGAACACUUAGAGAGUCGUCGGGACUUUGGGUAUUAUAGUCAUUUAAAAGUUGAGGAGGUAAAGGGGUCUAUGCACAAUAUGAGCAGGGGAGAGCGGACUAGCCUGACGAAAUCCAGGUGGAAUUUUGAAAGAGUAUGGGCAUGGCAAGCUUGAAGUGGCUCAUCAGGUUAUUUAAUGUCAUUUUUAAGAUAAAGAAGAUGUCUGGAGAAUGGAGAUGGAGUGCAAUGAUCCCAUUAUGUAAGAACGAGGAUGAUAUUCAAAAUUGCAACAACUAUCGGGGUAUCAAGUUACUAAGCCAUACUAUGAAAGUUUGAGAAAGGGUGAUGGAUCUGGGGGUGAGGAGAAUUGUGUCUAUUUUAAGAACCAAUUCGAAUUUAUGUCGGGAUGUUUGAUUAUAAAAGUUAUUCACAUUGUUAGGAGGUUGAUAGAGCAGUAUAGGGAGAGGAAGGGGGAUUUACAUAUGGUCUUUAUCGACUUAGAGAAGGCUUAUAAUAAAGUAUCGAUGGAGAUAUUUGGAGGCUAGAAGUACUCAUGUUACAUACAUUAGGGCUAUUAAGGAAUGUAUGUUGGAGUUAAGACUCGAGUGAGAACAGUGGGAGGGGUUCGGGACACUUUCCAAUUGUGAUGGGGUUGCACCAGGGGUCAGCCCUCAGACCCAUUUCUAUUUGCUCUGGUGAUCGACACACUGAUGCCCCAUAUUCAAGGGGAGAUGCCAUGGUGCAUGUUAUUUGCAGAUGACAUUGUACUGAUUGACGAGAUGUGAGGUGGUGUUAACAAGAAGUUAGAGGUUGGACGCAGACCCUGGAAUCUAGUAUUAGUUUUAUUUUGGCUACGAUUUUUCAAUUGGUCUUCUUAUUAUUUCCCCUUCCUUUUAUCUUUCCUUAGUCGAGGGUCUACCGAAAAUAUCCUCUCGGCCUUCUUAAAGGUAGGAGUAAGGUCGUCAUACACACUACCCUCCCCAGACCUUACAUGUGGGAUUACACUGAGUUUUCUUUUUGUUAUUGUUGUUGUCAUUGUAUAUCUUUUUGGGCAAAAUUUGUAAAAAAAAACUUUCUUAGAGCUUCAUAAUUUAGUUAAAUAAAAUUUUUUAGCCCAAAUAAUAAAGUUCAAAUUAUGUAUUUUUUUAUAUCAUCUUUUACAUGUAUGACUACUUGUUUUAACGGUGUAUUUCUUCAUUUCAAGAUAAAUUUUAAAUGAAUUUAACUAAAUCUUCAUCAAUUUUAUCCAAAUAAUUUUUUUUACCUAAAUUAUGGAGUUCUAGCCAAGCUGUAUUACAAAUAUUAUUCGAAAAAGAUGAUCUAAGAAAUUAAUAUAUUUAAAAAAUAAAAAGUAUAUUUUAUAUUAAAAAUAUUACAUUGGUAGAAAAAUUCAUGUGUCAGGUGCGUGCAUGUCACUUUUCUGAAAUGAGAUUAUUUAAUGAGGUAGAGUCUAUCGAAUACCAAGUUCAGGGGAAUACUAAUUAAAAUUAUAAAUAGUUUAAGGGUGUAACCAAUAAUUCAUGCUAAAUUUAGGAGGAUUUUAAUUUUAGCAUAUGAAGUUGCAAGUUAUUUGGACUUCGAAUUUUAUUGUUACUUUGAAUAUAAUAUUUUAUUAAAAGUACUAAUUAAACCCUCUUAUAAUUUAUUGUUUGCAUUAUUAGAUCAAUUGUUAUAUAAAAAAGAAAAAUAAUCUGUCACGACCCAACUCUAUUAUAGGUCGUGAUGGCGCCCAGCACCGUUGCUAGGCAAGCAACAAUGAACAAUCUUGUGAUUUUUCCCUUUUAAUAGGUUUUUCAAGUAAAUAACUUUCCUUAAUUUAAAAGAUUAAAUACAUAAUAGAUUAAAAUAAUUAAAACAAAAGCAGUUGAGUGCAAUCACAACCAUAGAAAUAAAACCAAAAUCACAGGUCUACUAGUGUGCCAAGACCUGGUGUCACAAGUGUUUGGGCUACUAGUAGUAGAAUAUACAAAAGAUUUCUACUUUACUUUCUGAAAUGGAAUAGACAUAACAAUAAACAAAAGAAGACUCCGUGUCACGACCCAAAUCGAUGGGUCGCGAUGGGCACUCGGUACCUUAUUCAACCGAGUACCAACAUAACGAGCAAAUGCACUACUUUCAUAAAUGACUCUAUUCAUAGAAAUACUAGAGAUGCCUAUGUUCUUGUCCCCAUGUGUCCUAUUAUUUUAUCAUUUGUUCAUGGGUCUUGAAAAAUACGUAAGUUGAUAAAGUUUAUUUCAUGACAUUAAUCAAAGGCAUAAUGGUCUUAUGACAUUCCGAGAGAUUUUAUUGACGUUACUUCUCAUGCAUUGCAUUUAUUUAUACAUGUACAUUGACCCAUGACCAGAUGGAGUUAUAUAUGUGUAUAUAUGUGUAUAUAUAUAUAUGUAUAUGAGAUAUGUGAAAAGGUUACGGCGUUAUAUACGCACCACCACCUGAUCAGCUAGUAUAUGUUGAUGAUUUUGCCCACAGUGGUCGAGAUGAUAUGAUGGGAUGUCCUCAGAGGCUUGAUGAUAUUACGUAUGCAUAUACCUAUGCAUGUAUGAUAUUUAUACGCAUAUGCAUGGCAUUAUAAAUAUUAAUGAUUCACAGAGUUAUUCAGACUUAUAUGUUGAGUCUUUUACUCCAUGUUUCUCUCAUAUCUAUUGUUUACUGAUUUUUAUUCCUUACAUACUCGGUACAUUAUUUAUACUGACGUCCCUUUUGCUUGGGGACGCGGCGGUUCAUGCUUGCAAGUCCCGAUAGAUAGGUCGGGAGUCCUCCAAGUAGGCUAUCAGCUCAACAGAAGAUGUUGUGCGCUCCAUUUGUUCAAGAGUUGCUUAUUUAGUCAGUACGAUUUGGACGUGUAUUGAUUAGUAUGGUGGGGCCCUGUCCCGACCUUUAUGGUAUUGAUCUACUCUUAGAGUCUUGUAGACAUAUGUCAUGUAUAUAAAUGAUUGUAUAGCCUUGUCGGCCUAUGUUCAGUGUACGAGUGAUCAUUUUGGCCUUAUUGGCCCGUAUGUCAUAUGUAUAAGUUUGUAUUACAUGUUGGGUCGUCCUAUGUCGAGUGUCCCUUCAUGUUUCAUUCUAGUUAUCUCAUGAUAGCCUUUCUGGCUCAUGUACCUAUGAUAGUAUGAUAUGAAAGAUACGUUACGUUGGUACUCAGUUGAGUAAGGUACCGAGUGUCAGUCACAGCCCAUAUAUUUGGGUCGUGACAAAAGUGGUAUCAGGGCAGUUCUGUCCUAGGGAGUCUACAAGCCAUGUCUAGUAGAGUCUUGUUUAUGAGUUUGUUGUGCACCAUACUUAUAACUAGGAGGCUAUAAGGCAUUUAGGACUGUCACUCUUUCUUCUUGCUCUAGAUCGUGUGGUAGAGCUCAGUUGUAAGAAUUCAAACUAUUAAAUUCUAUUUUACAACAACAACGACCCAGUAAAAUCCCACUAGUGGGGUCUAGAGAGGGUAAUAUAUACGCAGACCUUACCCCUGCCCCGAAGGAGUAGAGAGGUUGUUUCCAAAAAACAAUACCUAUAUCCAGUAAUACAGUUUGUAGGAGAUUGCAGGUGGAUGUGGAAGAGUUGAGUUAGAGGAAUUCGAUUUUUGCAUCAUGUUUAUGAUGGAUAAAUAUGUGGUAUCAGCAGAUAAUGUGAGUACUAAGAUGUGUAAGCUUCUUGAUAAGGGUCCCUAAGGCAAGAAUAUCUAUCCACUCUUACGGUAAAACGGAAUAAGAGAAACGGAAGGUAGACACAAGUUACAACAAGUAAAAGAAGCAAGUUGAAGAAGGAUACAAGGUACCUAGUUAAUGAAGAUUAAUAGUAUUUACAAUUCAAGCAGAGAAAUAUAAGUAUUUUGAGUUACCUUUAGUUGUAACAGAGGUAUGUACAAUUAGUCACACCUAUCUCAGUUAUGCUCCAUAGGAGCCAACAUGUGAUGACCUUAAAGGUCAUCUCUUGUUUUAGAAAUGAAAUCUCUGUCCCGAGGCCCUGAAAACCUUUUUUUGUCUCACCUCGAUUUACGUGCGCAGUCCGGGCGAGUCUGGAAAGCUUUUAUGUGAAAUUUAAGAAAAAUAAUGAAUUUUGCCUUUAAAAUUGAUUAAAGUUGACUUUGGUUAAUAUUCUUGGUAAACAGACCUGGACCCGUGAUCUGACGGUCCCAUAGGGUCCUUAUUAAAAUAUAGGACUCGGGCGUAUGCCCGAAAUUGAAUUCCGAGAUCCCUAAUCCGAGAAAAGAAUUUUUAAAGAAAACUAUUUGCUGGGAAAUAUAAAGACUUUUUGAAAUGAAAUGAUGCGUGUUGUUGAGGGAAUUGGGUCUGUACCUUAUUUUCGGAGCCCGGUACAGGUUUAAAAUAAUAAUUAAGUCGAAUCUGUGAAAUUUGGUGAGAAUCAGAGUUGAUUUUGUGUAAAUCGAACCUUUAGUUGAGAAAAUAGAAAUUUCAAUAUUUUUAUAGAAUUUCAUGAAUUUGAGGUUAAAUUCGUAGUUGUUGAUGUUAUUUUGAUGAUUUGAUCGCACGAGCAAGUCCGUAUGAUAUUUUUAUACUUGCAUGCAUAUUUGGUUUGGAGCCCCGAGGGCUCGAGUGAGUUUUGGAUAGGCCACGGGGUGAUUUGGACUUAGAAAAAUGCAGUUGUGCAUCUGGUAUUUUUGCACAUGCCUCUGAUCUCGCAAUUACGAGAUCAGGCUUCGCAAUUGCAAAGUGGUCAGGCCGGGAAAUGUGACCAAAGUGUCAUAAUUGCGAACCAGGUCUGGGCAGGCCCUCAUUGCAAAUGCGACCUCAGGGCUGGAAAAUGCGAAGGCCCUUACAUAGUAAUUGCGAUGUUUCCUUCACAAAUGCGAAGAUAGCAGGAUUUCAAAGCGCAAUUUCGAUAAUUGCACCUGUUAAGUGAGAUUUCAGACGGGAUGUUUCAUAAUUUUACAACUUUCUCAAACCCUAAGCAUCCUUAGGCAAUUUUUCAAAGGCUCAAACUUCUCCAAAUCAUAAGUAAGUGAUUUCUAACUCAUCUUCUUCAAUCUAAUCCAUCUUUUUACAUAAUUUCACUUCAAAAUCUAGAGUUUUUCAUGGGAAAUUGGGGUUUUGGGUAGGAAUUAGGAUUUUCAAAUUUUGGAGAUUUGGACCUCAAUUUGAGGUCGGAUCUCAAAACUAAUUGAACAUUUGAGUUCGUGAGUGAAUGGGUAGUUGGGUUUUGGUUCAAACUUCGGGUUUUGACCAAGCGGGCCCCAAGUCAAUUUUUGAAUUUUUGGGGAAAACAAUGGGAAAUCUAUUUUCAUGCAUUAGAAUUGGUUUAUUUAGUAUUUAUUGAUGUUAUUAAGUAAAUUAUGACUAGGUACAUACGAAUUGGAAGUGGAACUGAGAGGUAAAGCGGUAAUUGAGGCUUAAUCUUGUCCGUGGAAUCGAGGUAAGUAUUUGGCCUAACCUUAGCUUGAGGGAAUAUGAGUUGUGGUUUUAUUUGCUCUGUGUUAGUAUUGAGUACGACAUAUAGGUAUGGUGACGAGUAUCUAUACGUUGGUGUCAAGCAUGCCCGUGUGUCUUAUACCAUGAUUGUUAUGACUCUAUUAUGCAUUGUCCAUGCUUAAAUUGAUAAUUAUCGAUGUUGAACAAGGCUUAUGAUAAUUUCUUGGUAAUUGACUAUUGUUGAGUAUUGGCUCAAGUUAAGACUUAUUUUGUGAAGUUAACUGUUGAAAAUGAAAUUGGUUAUAACUGAUUCCCUUACCGGGAUGUUAUUGUUGAUAUUGAUGAUUCCCUUGCCUGGUUGUUAUUGUUGAUAUUGUUGAUUCCCUUGCCGGGAUGUAUUGUUUCUAUUAUUUGGGUGAGGAAGAGUGUAAAGCACGAAGGGUGAUAUAGCGCAUGAUAUUGUGAGUGAGUGUAAUGCACGAAGGGUGAUGCCUUGCCGAAAUUGUGAGUGUUAAUACAUGAAGGGUGAUGUCGUGCCAUGAUUUGAGAGUUAAUGCACAAAGGGUGAUGCUAUGCCGAUAUUGUGAGGAAUAAUGCACAAAAGGUGAUGUCAUGCCAUGAUUAUGAGAGGUAAUGCACGAAGAAUGAUGUUGUGUCGUUUAUGUUGUUUCAUAUGGUGAGGACGAGAGUAAAAUCACGAAGGGUGAUAUCGUGCACGUGUUACCAUUUCAUUAUUCUUGUUGAUAUAGAUAUGAUGUUCAUUAUGCUUCUUCAUUGAUGCUUCUUUAUUGGUUUAUUGUUAGUAUAUGAUAUUCCCUGUUGCAUGUCCCAUUCCCACCUUAUUCUGUUGGUUCCUGUUAUUAUGAUUCUGUUUGUAUAUGAUUUAAUUGCACUGGUAUAUAUGAUUGUCAUGUCCUAGCCUCGUCACUACUNNNNNNNNNNNNNNNNNNNGGUUGUACUGAUGCUACAUUCUGCACUUUUGUGCAGAUUUUUGGUACCGGAUCCGGUGAGUAGCUGAGGUAGCUACCUUCAGUCCAGGGAGACCAAGGUAGAUCUGCUGGCAUCCGCAGAGCCUAAAGUCCCCCUUCCCUAUUUUAGCUUUCUACUGUCUCUUUUUAUUCUGAGAACAAUUGUACUUUUCUUUCUAGAAUAGUGUUUGUAGAAAUUUGUAGAUGUUCGUGAAUUGGUGACACCAGAUUCGUGGGUAGAAAUGUAUUGGAUUAUUUAAAUUUGUUAUAACUCUUCCGCACUUUUCAUUUGUUUAACUGUAGUUAUUGUUUAUAUGUGUUUGAGUUGAUUGCUAAUGGGUUAAAACCUUAAUAGUUGACUUGCCUAGCUUUCACGAGUAGACGCCAUCAUGAAUCCCGAGGGAGGGAAAUCCGGGUCGUGACACAACAUAUAUAGUUUAAGAGAAGGACGGGAUAUCAGGAUCUAUCUGGGGUUAGAGUAACCCAAAAUGUUGGAUGGAUUGUUAGCGUUAGCUGACAUUUUCAAAGGAUAUUACAAACGUGGUAAUAAUUCUCCUUGUGAGACACCCAGAUGAUGCAUUCUAGAAUAGUACAACUAGAUAUGAAUACUAUAAUGUUCAAAAAAAAUCUACAAAGACAGGUACUGGAAUCCUGGAAGGGAUAAAUAUUAUCUUAGUAUGACUCAUGUUCCUAGUAGAGAGAGAAUGUUAGGCAACCUGAAGAGCUAGUGGAUGGAGCAAGGGGAGCUAGAAGCAAAACAAUAUCUUGUUGAAAUUUUCAGAAUAAAGUGAUAGACAGAGAUGUUAGUAAGGAAAUAAGAAGAGAAUUAAUGAAGCAUUAUGAGUAAGAUGUGAUACAUGGAUGACAACGGUAGAUAUAAAAAAUGACAGUAUUAAGUCAGGUGAAGGAAAAGACAAAAGGUGACAGGCCUUGAGGCAACAAAAGAGUAUAGGCUAUAAAGUCAUAUCCUCAUAUCGUGAAAUAAGUUCGUGACUCUAACGUGAUUAUCAGAAGGAAAAGUUAGACCCCAGAGUAAUAGAAAUAAGUGUGGACUGGUGAACAAGAUAGACUAAACAUGAAUUAGGGACUGAGUGAUUUGAUGAUGGUCGACAUCAUGAGAAUUUCAGAGAUUGCAUUCCGGCGAUAAUAGAAUGGACGACAGAAGAAUAACCUUCAAAGGUCAUUCUGGAAGACGCUUCCCUAAGCAAGCAAUAUGAGCAAAGUUAACAUUAAGGGACUAUAUGUGCUAGUUACACUACGUGUCACCCUCGUGAGUAAGGAAUUUCGUUAUCCUUAGUACAAAAGGAUCACCGCAAGGCGAGUAAGGGUCAUCGAUAAUGUGAAAAGAUGCCAAAGAUGAAGAGGUAAAACAUCUAUAUGUAGAUCAUCGUAGCACUAAAUCUUAGUACUCCCCUAAAGGGGGGAAUAUGGAAUGAUGUGGCAUUAAGUCAGAAUUAAGUGGUUCUAGUAACUAUGGAAUGGUAAAGGAAGAAUACGAUAAAAAUAAUAACCGGAUGAGAUUGCAUUAAUUCAAAUCCUACAUAUAUGCUACGAUUACAUAACAUUAUGCAAAUACGACGUCAAGGAAAUGAAGUAAGGGUUCUUGCCCGAGAUGUUAUUAAUAAAUAAGGAGCCAGUACGAGAGUUAAGUUAAGACAAAGGAAAUAACCCAAGAAAGAUUACGCUGAAUAUUGAUGUGAGAAUGGGUUAACGAGUAGUUAGUAGUUGAUUCAGGAAGAGCCUAGUUAUGGCUAGACAAGAGGAUAUAGACAAAUCAACAGAUCGUGCAAGAUAAAUAUAGUGAACCCCAACAUGGGGAAGUUAGUCUCGCAUAUAUGACAUCGCGACCCUUGAGAAAUAUUCAGAUAGGAGUUGGGGUAGUUAAAAGUACCAUAUGAGUGUUACAGAAAUAAAAGAGAGUCCCACUAGGAAGACAGUCAAAACUUUAGUUUAGAAGCAACUGUACGAGCAUAUGAGUGUGGAGGUAAGUAACUACAGAUAAUUAUAGGCGAGGAAGGAUAUCAAAAAUUCCAUCGAGAAUGCGAAGUAAUAAGCUCAUAUUUUUAUAAGAGUUAGAGGGUCCUCCCAAAGUACUACAAUAAAAGACUAGCUGAGGAAAUAAGGAAGAAGGCUUCAACCUAAACAUAGUAACUUGAAGAAGAAAUGGUCAUCUAAAAACAGUCUCACUACAACAUUGUAUGCACUCCAUAAGAAAGUGACAUCUAUCGUGACUAAUGAACAGGAAUUAAGUGAUAUUCAAGAUCAUAUGUGUUACAUGGGAUUCUAGUAUUCGCGAGCGCCAAUGUGACGACCCAAAUGGUUGUUUUGCUUUCUAGAACUCCGUUCCCCUAAAUAAGAUUUCCCACACUUGCUUUUACUGAUUUAUAACUUGCGGGGAUGAUUGGUUCGAGAUUUGGAAGAGUUUUGGUUAAAAUCAGAACACUUGGUUCCUUAAGGUUGGCUUAAAAGACCAAGUUUGACUUCGGUCAACAUUUUGAUUAAACGACCUCAGAAUCAGGAUUUGAAGGUUCCAACAGGUUCGUAUGAUGAUUUCGGACUUGGGCAUAUGUCCGGAUCGGAUUUUGGAUGACCUGGGUGCAUUUUGGCGCCAAAUAGUGAAAGUUGAUUCCUUAAGGAUUUUAAAGUUUUUUAAAUUUGAUUUGGAGUGGGUUUUUAUGAUAUCGAGGUCCGAAUGAAAUUUCGAGACCGAGAAUAGUUCUGUAUUAUCAUUUAACACUUGUACGCAUCAAUCUGAGUAGUAUAUGUGUGUUUCGUUACAUUGGAUAUGAAAUGAAGAACUUGACGUUCAUAAGUUUGCUUCAAUUGGUUUUAGGGGGUAAUUCCAAGAUUUAGCAUUGUUUCGGGUGUUCUGAGGGUUCAGCAAAUCCGUUUUACUGUUUCAAACUUAUUGGUAUAUAUGGAAGGGGCCUCGGGGGGCCCGAGCAUCAAUCAGACGAGGCUUGAUUUAAGUUAGAAAAUUUUAGAAGGAGUUGAAGCUCUAGGAAUCUGUCACCAACCGCAGGUGCGAGACCGCAGAAGCGGCCUAUCCAUCGCAGGUGCGGCCCAAGAGGAGAGCCCAUGAACCACAGAUGCGACCCAUCUUCCGCAGAAGCAGAACCGCAAAAGUGGUCCCCAGACAGCAGAUGCAGCCUCAACUAGCCGACCCAGUUCAGCAAAUGUGGUCCUUCCCUCGUAGAAACGAAACCGUGGAUGCAAUCCCCUAACUGCGGGUAUGGUAAUCGCUGAAGGCAGUGCCUUCAUUUAAUACAAGAAUGUGUUAUUUUUGACACAUUUCAUUCAUUUCUUGGGCGAUUUGGGAGUUUCCAAAGGGGGGAUUUCAGCCUAGCAUUGUGAGGAAAGUUAUGUCUACUUAUUGUGGGUUAAUACAUAGUUUAGGGGUAUAUUAAACCAUAUUAAAUUAGUGAAAAAUUAUGGGUUUAGAGUACAACCUAGGGUUUUAAUAAAAAUAAGAUUUAACCACGAAAUUCGUUAGGGAAUGAAGUAAAAAUCAUAUAUUCUUGAUCCUUAGGUUAUGGGUAACAACUUCCCUAAAAAAUUUACGAAAUCUGGGCACGUGGGCUGGGGGAUGAAUUUUUAGGAACCUUGCAUUUAGAAUUGAGAAAUUACUUUAAUAGUUAGAAUAUGAACUCUUGAGCAUGUAUUGACUAAUUCUUACCCCGUUUGAUUAGUUUUGGAUCGUUCGACUCCGAAUUAAGGGUUUUGAGCACAUUCUUGAAUUUGGAAGUAAGCUUUGGAGCAAGGUGAGUCUCCUUUCUAACCUGAUAAGAGGGAAAUAACACCUAGGUGAAUUAAAUAAAUGUAAGUGACUAUCUAUGGGGGCUACGUACGUACGAGGUGACGAGAAUCCGUACGUAGCUACUAUUAUGCUAAUUGUCCGGGUAGUUUAGGAGCUGUAUCAUGCCAUACUUGCACAUGCUUACGUCUUUGCUUGCUACUAAGACCAAUUAGGCCAUGCUAGAAAUUUGUAAAUAAAUAUAGACGGAUAUGCUCACUAACUUGAGAAUUUGUAUGAAUUUAUUUGACUAUAAAUGAGCAAUGUAUGCUUGCUUGAUAAUAAAUUGCUAUUUGUGGAUCGGGCCGAUCACCUCGGUAAAAAUAGAUGCAUCUAUGGUUCACGCCAUUCGACCCUCUGGCAGUGCACAAUUUAUUAUUAUGUUGGACCGGGCCGUAUGACCUCGGCAUAAUGUGCGCCUGUGAUUUAUUUGGAACUCUUUUGUGAUAUACUCUGCUUAAAUGCUUUGAAAUGUACUUAUUACAUCACAUGACUGAAAUUAAAAUAUUGUUAAGAAGUAAUAUCCUAUUUAUCCUUGUUUGGGACUGUCAUCAUAUUCAUGCUAUUCAUGUUUAGCGUAACACUUAACUAUUAUAGAUAUUGACCUUAGUAAGUGUCAAGUCGACCCCUCGUCACUGCUUCUUCGAGGUUAGACUGGAUACUUGUUGGGUACAUGUUGUUUAUAUACUCAUACUAUGCUUCUGUACUUAACUGUACAUGAUCUGAGGUAGGUGCAUCUAGCUACCUGUCCGGCGCGCGUUCCUGAUUCUUGAUCGAGAUCUCACGGUGAGCUGCCCUUUCCGAGCCGUUCAACAGCAUGUCGGAGUCUCUUCUUUUGUUUAUUGUUGUUUACUGUCUAUUCUAUUUCAGGUAGUAGGAUAAUGAUAUUUUUGUACAUUCUACUAGUUGCCCUAGUACUUGUGACUUUAGUUCCUGGCAUACACAUUGUAGACUAUUAUUUUGUGAUGUAUUUCUAUUAUUAUGAUCUUGUAAAUUAUCGACUGUUUUAAAGUUUAACAAUUAAGAAAAUGUUGGGAUUGUUUUGGUAAAAUAAAUGAGAACUCACUAACUGAAUUAGGGUUGGCUUUCCUGACAACGGUAUUGGGCGCUAUCACGACCUAUAAUGGAAUUUGGGUCGUGACAGCCAAGAUAAGCCAAGUAUGCACGCAACAAGGGGCAGAAAGAUCAGGAAAAGUAGUAGCUUACAUUUAAAGAAAGCUGAGAAGGAACGAAAUGAAUUAUUUGACCAAUGAUUCAGAGUUAGUUAUAUUAUGAAUGCACUAAGAGUUUGAAGUAUUAUCCAUUCAGCAUAUAUGCUGACAAUCAUACAACCAUAGAAGAUUCCAGUAUAAGUUAAAAGAAAUAAUUGAGCCCAUGCCAUAGACAAAGGAUUGAAUUGUUAGAAGAUUGUAUCAUAGAUAUCCUAUAGCGUCCAUGAAUGGCUAAAGUAAUAACUAAUACCAUGAGCCGCAUAUUGGAAGAUAGUUUAAGCCUACAUAAAGGUUGAUCAGAGGGAAGACGAAACUAAAGAGUUACAUCAACUAAGUAAAUCAGGAGUCUGAUUAUUGGACCCAUAAAGUUAUAAACCUCGUGAUUAAGAACAUUGCAGGAUCACUCUUAAAUAUCAGAGGUACAAGAGAGAUAGUACAGUAGUCAUAUUCUAUAACGACUCUAUGAUAAAGUCAGUUAGAAAAGUACCAGCCUUAUAAAAAGUCAAUAUGAAGCUCUCACUGGAUUGUGUAUGCACCAGAGAGUGCAAGUAUUAUAAUAGAGCUUCAAUUUGUGGAUGUGAAUUACACCUACGUGGAAGGAAGGCCAUGAAAGAGAUAGAAGAUGUGAUGUGAGAUUUUAAGGUAAGUAAGGUAAAGGUGAACAACAUACAAGAUACUCAAAUGCAGAAGGUUCUAAAUAGUCCAUACUUCAGAUGGAAGGCUAGAAGCAUUGGGAUUCGGUAUCCAGGAAUAAUAGCAGUGUGAGAUGCAAUUCUAAUAGAGCACGGUACAAUCUUUCUCAAGAAUAUCGUACGGAUUUUUCCCUACUUCGAUCCGCCAUUACGUAUUAUCGCAAUUGACGUGUGUUAGAGAUAUUAUCAGAGAAUCAUCUCAGGUAUGUUAAGGCUAUCCCAUCUUUCCUUUUGGCAUGAUCCAUACGAUACAAACGAAACGAGCAAACGUAUUACUUUCAGAAAUAUCUCUAAUCAUUGAAAUACUAGAGAUGCCUAUGUUCUUCAUUCCCCAUGUGUCCUAUUGUUCUAUCAUCUGUUCACGAGUCUCAGAAAAUACGUAAGUUGAUAAAAUUUAUUUCAUGACAUUAAUCAAAGGCAUAAUGGUCUUAUGACGUUCCGAGAGAUUGUAUUGAUGUACUUCUCAUGCAUUGCAUUCAUUUAUACAUGUACAUUGACCUAUGACUAUAUGACGUUAUAUACGCAUAUAUAUAUAUAUAUAUAUAUAUGUGUGUGUGUGUGUGUGUGUGUGUGUGUGUGGGUGGGAUAUGGGAAAAUAUUAUUGCGUUAUAUAUGCACCACCACCUGAUCAGCUGGUAUACGUUGAUGAUUCUAUCCACAAUGGCCGAGAUGAUAUGAUGGGAUGCUCUUAGAGGCUUGAUGAUGUUAUGUACACAUAUACCUAUGCAUGUAUGACAUUUAUACGCAUAUGCAUGGCUUUAUAAAUAUUAAUGAUUCACAGAGUUAUUCAGACUUACAUGUUGAGUCUUUUACUCCAUGUUUCCCUCAUGUCUAUUGUUUACUGAUUUUCAUUCCUUACCUACUCGGUACAUUAUUUCUACUGACGUCCCUUUUUCCUGGGGACGCUGUGUUUCAUGCUCGCAGGACUUGAUAGAUAGGUCUAGAUUCCUACAAGUAGGCUAUCAGCUCAGCCGAAGAUGUUGGUGCGCUCAAUUUGCCCUGGAGUUGCUUAUUUGGUCAGUACGAUUUGGACGUGUAGUAAUUAGUAUGGCGGGGCCCUAUCCCGUUUAUGGUAUUGAUCUACUCUUAGAGGCUUGUAGACAUAUGUCAUGUAUAUGAAAGAUUGUAUGGCCUUGUCGGCUUAUGUUCAGUGUACGAGUGAUCAUUUUGGCCUUAUAGGCCCGUAUAUCAUAUGUAUAAGUUUGUAUUACAUGUUGGGUCGUCCUAUGUCGAGUGUCCCCUCAUGCUUCAUUCUUGUUAUCUCAUGACAACCUUUUUGGAACAUGUACUUAUGAUAGUAUGAUACGAAAGACAUGUUACGUUGGUACUCGAUUAAGUAAAGUACCGUGAGCCCGUCGCGGUCCAUCGGUUUGGGUUGUGACACUCCGGUUGUUGCAGAACGACUCGAAAGGCAGCUCAUCGUGUAGUCUCGUAACAGGGAUCAAAUAUGCGCACCAUACUGAUAUCCAGAUGUACCUGCCUCAGAUCCUGCACAUUAAGUGCAGAAGUGUAGUGUGAGUACAUAAACAACAUGUACCCAGUAAGUAUUCAGUCUAACCUCGAAGAAGUAGUGACAAGGGGUCGACUUUGACACUUACUAUGGGCUAACAAUAAAAUGUCAAAAUAAUAAUUAAACAUGGAUUACAUGAAUAUAGCUAAAAAACUCAAUAACAGGGAUAAUAAACACUUCUUCCACUAAGAGUACAUCUCAAGUUUACUUUUCAUCAUUUAUCAAUUUAUAUUUCAAGUCAAUGAACAAUAUCAUUUAUAGUUGGUUCCAAAGAUUUAUCACACGCAAAUUAUGUCGAGGUCGUACGACCCGAUCCAAUAUAAUAAUAUUUAAAUAGUGCACUACCGAGGGUCGAACGGCACAGACCAUAGAUGCAUCUAUAUGCUACCGAGAAAUUCGUCCCGCUCCACAAAUAGAAAGUAUUUUAAGGAAAACACAAAUUCUCAAUAAUAGUCAAGUGUUCCAUUCACAACUUCAAGUAAGUAAAAUUUUAUCAUUUACAAUUCCUUUUAUCAGGUUUCAAAUGACUUAUGCAAUUAAAUUAACAAGUAGGGUGCAAACAUUAUAAGUAUAGCAUGAUAUGGGUCCUAGACUACCCGGACAAUAGCAUAAUUAGUAGAUACGUACGGACUCUCGUCACCUCGUACUUACGUAGCCUCCACAAAUAGAAGAACAUAUUAAUUCAAUUCACCUAUGGGAUUAAUUCCCUCUUAUAAGGUUAGAAAAUAGACUUACCUCACCUCAAAACCUACUUUCCGAUCCAAGAUUAUGCUCAAACCCGCAAUUCGGUGCCGAACAAUCCAAGAAUAAUCAAAUAGUAUAUAAACUAAUCAAUACAUGUUCAAAAGUUCAUAUUCCAACUAUUAAAGUGAGUACCCAACCCUAAAUGUAAGAUUUCUAAAUUUACCCCGGGCCCACAUGCUCGGAUUCCGGAAAUUUUUAAAAAAAGUUGUUACCCAUAACCUCACGAACUCAAAUAUAUAAUUUUCACUACAUUCCAUACCUAAUUUCGUGGUUAAAUCCCACUUUUAUCAAAAAUCUAGGUUUUAUAUAUAACCCAUAAAUCCUACAAAUUUACAUGUUAUAAUCUACCCAUAAUCUAUGUAUUAAACUCACAUUAGGUAGAAAUUACAUACUCUCAAUAGCUAGGUUGAAAUCCCCCUUUUUGAAGCUCUAAAAUCGCCCAAGUAUGUGAAAAAUGAGAGAAAAAGGUUCAACUCUCGUAUUUAAAACAAGGUUCUGCCCAGUUGUAACGACCUUCUUCGCGAAUGCGGAAGAAGCCUCGCGUUCACGAAGGCCUAAGCUGUCUGCGCAUUGUGAACACGACAACUCUUACGCGAGCGCAAAGUGCAUUGGCCCUCCCCGACCCGAUUCCCCUACGUGAACGCGAGUGGGGCUUCGCGAACGCGUAUGCCUAGCCUCACAAGGCUUCGCGAACGUGAGAGACUGAUUGCAAACGCAAAGGGUAAUUUCCCUCUACCCCAAAUCCUUCUUCGCGAACGCGAUGACCCUCCUGCAUUUGCGAAGAAGGAAACUAGAACUGGAAAAUCUGGUUUCUUAUAUUUAGCUCUGGGCAGUCUGAAACACACUCGAUCCCAUCGGGACCCCGUCCAACUACACUAACAAGUUUAUAAUUAUAAUAAGGACCUACGCAAAUUCUUGAAAUGCGUAAAAUAACAACAAAAUCAAGAAUCACACCCCAAAAUCAAAUUGAAUCAAAAUAUGAACUUCAAGUUUCCAAAUCGCUCAAAACGCGCCAGAUCAUACUUAGACUACUCGGAAUGGCACCAAGUGUUCCGAUUUUAACCCGAACCCUUUCAAAUCCCGAACUAACCAUCCCCACAAGUUAUAAAAUAGUAUAAGCAUGUACGGGAAGUUUUAUUUAGGGGUACGGAGUUCUAGAAAGCAAAACGAUCGGUCGGAUCGUUAUAUAAUUGUUUUAUCUAACAAACAAAUAUGUUGAGAUUAUUACGUCAUUUCUCAUUUCUAUUUUUCCUUCAUUAUUCUUUAAGCUCCUCCUUUUGUUCAAUACUAAUGUUGCCCAAAAGGACGGGAUGGUCUGGCCCAUCCCAGUCCUGUCCCGCCCUGACCCGUCUUAUGUUAGUAAGAUGGAAUAUAGGGGGUUAAAGGGACACGGGAUGGGACGGAUCAUCUAAUUUGUCCCUAUGGGCCAGUCCGAUAAAGGCUCUAUCACGGUCCAACAACCCGCAAAAUUAUUAUUUUUUUAAAAAUAAAGUACUCGUUAACCAACAACUUUAUUUUCAAAAAUAACUGUGCCAAUGGUUAAAAACAGCCAAAAAUAGCCCCCCCCCAAAAAAAAAAAUACCCCCCUCUCUCCUCCUCCCAAACUUUUAAUUUAACUUUUAAGUUUAUUAAAUUAUACUUUGAUCCUAUUUUAACUAAAAAAAUACCCUCAUUCUUCUUCUUCUUUUUUCACGCAAAUCUGCAUUCUCUCUCUAAUAUCUUACAUUCUAUCUAUAUUUUUCUCUCAAUUUUCUCAUAAUCAACUACUUUUAAGUAUUUGGGAAAAGUUUGGAGCAAGUUUGAAGCUUCAAAUAAAUUCGUCAAGUAUUUGGAGCAAUUUUUUGGGCAGUUUCUUCAAGUUCAAAUAUUUAAUCACAGUGCACUCAUUCCAUCUCUUAAUUUUUAUAUUUAAUAUUUGCGUAUUAUUUUAGUGUUUAAUAAAAUACCCCCUCCUCCACCCAAACUUUUAAUUUAACUCCUAAGUUUAUUAAAUUAUACUUUGAUUCUAUUUUAACUAAAAAUAUCCCCAUUUUUCAUUUCCACACUACGUUCUUAUCACGUCCAACUAUGCCUUAUAAAAACGACUAAGUAGUCGCUGCAAAUAUAAUAUCCGUUCUAAGAGUCUGAAGUCAAAUCCCACAGAGAAUUAAGGUUUAGCUACAAUUGUUUACUAUCACUAAGAAGUCAAGUUUGAACAAAUUCUUAAAUUAUAAAUAUUGAAAUUUUAUUUAUAAUUAAUUAACUAGCAAAUUAACAAUUACUGAUACUAAGGGUUGGAGACAAGAUUAAGGAGAUGUCUAGAGUUAUGAUUUCCCCAAUUGUCGGAAUUCUCCCUGCUACGUUUCCUAUAAUUCUACCUAAGUAUUCUCUACCGAUCGUGAGUACUUCAGGUGUCAUAAUUCUCUUCUGAUCAACUACCACAAUUUACUAGAUGUAUUCUUCCUAACUACGCUAGCCGCUCAGUAAGAUCGCACCAAGGUUUCAUUAUUCCUAAUCCCACCUUUAAACCCUUCGUAUAGAUUCCUCACAUACAGUAGGAGUGAUGUUAUUCAACAACUACCUAAAUAUGUACCCUUUUUCAAUCAAUACACACUAAAUAGGCACAGUCAAUUUUGAGGGCCCUUCAAUCAACUAAGAUAAUCACAUAGUUGAACAAGAAGAGAAAAUCCAAUGGCAAAUCAUAUUAAACGCAACAGAAAAUCAUCCUUCAAAAGGUUACAUCAAAGCCUAGAUAAAAGAGUUUAGUUACUCAUAAUCAUACUAACAAUCAUGAUAGUAAUUGAAAGCAUUAAAAUACAAAUUAAGGAAGAACGAAAGAGAAAACUCUUGUGAUUCGUUGUUUCCAAAUGUUCUCGUAGCAUUCUUACCUCUCCAAUCAUGUCUAUCCCUCUCUUAGAAAUGUUUAGGGCAUAUUUACAGGGUAGGGUUGAAGUACUUUAGUCCAAAUCCGGGUUAGAGCCUUUUAAUUCGUGAACUUUUGAUCACCGAGCUAAAGACCUUGCGAGGCCAGGCUUAUAGUGCGGCCAGCCUGGCUACAGAGCUAGCUACGCCGGGCCUGUAGCGUGGUCAAGCUGACUAUAUAGCUGGCUAUGCUUGGCCUGUAGCACAGUUUGGGUACUUGGUAUUUUGUACUCUUUUCUUGCAUUUUCGUCCUCUUUUCGUGCAACUUUCAUUCGACUCUUUCUUCCGAUGCUCCUACACAUAAAACAACAUAAUUUAGCUCAAAGGUCGCACAAUUAAUCACUAAACCAACAAAAUAUAGGGCGAGUAAUGUACUAAAAGUAUAACAUUUUGGCCAAACAUCACAUUCUAUCUAUAUUCUUCUCUCAGUUUUCUCAUAAUCAACUACGUUUCAAGUAUUUGAGCAAGUUUCAAGCUUCAAAUUAAUUCGGCAAUUUCUUCAAGUUUAAAUAUUUAAUGAUGGUGCACUCAUUCUAUCUCUUAAUUUUUAUAUUUAAUUUUUGUAUAUUAUUUUAGUAUUUAAUUUUAGUGUUUACUUUUCGUGUUUUAUUUGUUUGUUUACUUUUCGUAUUUAAAUUAUGGCUCCUAAAAGAGUAUUUGGCAUAACUAACCCAUUUUUUUUAAAAAAAUUAGUAAAGGUACUAGUUCUAAUAGUAAUAUGAAUCCGAUUGCUAGAGUUAGAAAAUAUAUAGAGGGUAUGACUCAUGUUGAUGAAACUUCCUUUACCCAACCACCCGAAUUUUAUCAUAUUAAUCCAGAAGAACCACUAGAUUAUGAAAUCUACAAAGAUAAUCUGGCAAUGAUAUUAAUUUUAAUGAAGAAGAAGAAAAUGAGGAAAAAGAAAAUAAGGAAGAUGAAUAAGAUGAAACACCCACUAGUCCAAUAAUAUAAGCUCCAAUUGAGAGUCAAUCUUAGUCUGGAGCUUUCUCUCCUCAUGUAUCUCCUGUAAGGGGUAAGGCUAAGGCAGAACGUACGAGAACAUCACUUGUAUGGAGUUUUUUUUUUAUUUAAGUAAAGUUGCUUCAGUUGCUACUUGUAAAAAAUGUAAAGCACAAUUUGCAUAUGGUACACGUGAAAAUUGGGUGGGAUGAGGGGUUUAAACAGGCACUUGCUUGGUAAACACAAACCUAUAUGGAUAAAAUCUCAAAUAGAUACCAUAAAAAUAUCGGAUCCUAGCAGCAGUUCUUGCGCUCCUACUGGAUCUGGCGGGGGUUCUAACUAUGUCCAACAACAGCUUCACCCUAUUACUGAAACUAUACUACGUCUCUAUAACAAAGAUAGAGAUCGUGAAAAAUUAGCAAAAGUGGUCGAUUUCUUUGACUGACCUUUUACUUUUCCUUCUCACCCUGCUUUUGUGCAUUAUAUACAAGAAACUUAUAAUCAUGCUUUUCAAGGUUGUCCUAAGACCAUAAUUAAAAAUAAUAUUUUUAAAUUUCAAAGUGACUAUCUUUAGUACAUACGUUGUGUAUUUUACCAAUUAGAUUGUAAAAUAUCUAUCACAUCUGAUAUAGGUCGUAGUCCUAAUGACAAUGAUUAUUUAAAAGUUACAUGUUAUUGGGUUGAUCUUCACUAGAACAUGCAAAAACGUAUUAUUGAUUAUAAAUUUGUUGUUACAAAAUACACUAGAGCAUAUAUUACAACUAUUGUUCUAGAAAUACUUUAAUUUUAUAGUCUUAUUAAUAAAGUUUUAACUAUCACAUUAGAUAAUACUGUUGUUAAUACCACUGCAACAAAUAACUUAAAAGCUAGAAUUUGCGCAAUUAAUGAUGAAAUUUUUCGUGUUAGAUGAACUUGGUUGUAAAUAACAUAUGAUGGGGUCAUUUCUAGUUUAGCUUAUCUUUGAAUAUUGAACAAUUGUGCGGAGCAUGUGUUUCCAACUUGUUGAUUCAAACUCUCGCAGGAUAUAUUCACAAGAGGAAUGAUUACUCUUAAGGGUAAUCUUAUAGUUUAGGUCUACUAAGUAUUGUAAUUUGUUGGGUAAUUAAUUAUUUUAAUUGUUUGACAAUUACUUCUUUGUUGGGUCUAUUCUCAAUUUGUAAGGCCCCAAAUUUUUUUACAUAAAACCUAGGGUUUCGUGCUGUCGAGGUAGAAGUAUGUGUUGAUGAUUGUAGAGAUUCUUCGCGGUGAGCUUGCAAGCUAAGGUACAGACUUUUUGGGUUGAGCAGUGCGUUGGGGAGUUGAAGAAAUUUUUUUGGUAGAGUAGUGCAUUUCUACGAUCAACUAUGUGACCGCAGAAUCACUCUGCGGACCGCAGGUCUACCGCAGAGUGAAACAGAAAACUGGGCAAACUUUGGAUAAUAUUUUGAGGUCGAUUUUGCGGCCGCAUAAUCAUUUUGCGGGCCGCACAAUCUAUCGCAGAUCCACCAUAAAAAAUUUCGGAGGGGAGUUCUACGGCAAAUUAUGCGAUCGUAAAAUUGGUUUACGGAUCGCAGGCCUGUCACAGAGUGAAGCAAAAAUGCCCAGUUCUGGAGGGCCAUUCUGCGGCCCGCAUGAGCAUUACACGGUCAUAUAUGCGACCGUAGAUCUGUAUCAGGGCUUUAUUUUUCUGAUUUUAUAAACCCGACCCCAUUCUUAUAAAACACUCUUAGGGAUUAUUUUAGAAGGUUCAAACUUAUAUUUUAGAGAGAGGAAAGUAGUCUAGAGUGAGAAAAGUAAUUUCUAAGUCAUUUGUUCAUCAAUCUUUGCUCAAGCCUUGAAGACUUCACAAGGGUAACUCCCAAGGUCUUCAACCAAAAUGUAAGGUUCUAGCCCUAGCCUUCGGUUACGAGAUUUAACUGAAAAUAGGUAAUAAGUCAAGCAAUUGCUGGGUGUGGGAGUUGUUCAUUAUGAAUGCAUGUACUAUCAAGGAUUGUGAGAAGAUUGGUAAGCUCAAUUGGGUAGACUUUGGGUAGUGAAAUGAAGGAAUCCACCAUGGAGGACCUUGGAAUCAUAAUGGCCACCUAGUCUUCGAUAAAAUGCUCAAAUGAGUUGCAGCCAUGAACUUCUUCCUAAUUUUGGUUCAAUUUAUUAUAAAUAGAUCGAAGUUGCUAGAUUUCCAAAACUAUGUAGUGGAUUAAGGGAAGAUCAAAGCAAGGUAUGUUGGCUAAACCUUUUUCUUAGAAUUAAAUCCCACGAUGGUCGUGUAAGUUUCGAGUUGUUCAUUAUAUACUUGAUAUUCCGAAUAAGUUUGGUGUUUAUAUAUAUAUAUAUAUAUAUAUAUAUAUAUAUAUAUAUGUGUGUGUGUGUGUGUGUGUGUGUGUGUGUGUGUGUGUGUGUGUGUAUAUAUAUAUAUAGUUAUAUAUAUAUAUAUGUGUGUGUGUGUGUGUGUGUGUGUGUGUGUGUGUGUGUGUGUGUGUAUAUAUAUAUAAAUGUGUUUCGAAUAUUAUUAUGAUAUCAUGGUGUUCUUCGGGGGCAUGUUCAAAGCAUGAGUCUUGUAUUGAAAUAUUGUGAAUUUAAGACAAAUUCAAAUGAAAGAUGUUGCGUCAAAUGGUGUAAGAAAUCUCCAUGUGCUUAUCACCCUUAUGUGCUCACUAGUAUAUUUAAAAGUCUAAUAUUGAAAAGCCUUUUUGUUGAAUUACCUAUGAUGAUAUUUGAAAGUGAAAGAAUAGGGCAUGAAAUCUGAUGUGCGACCGACGUGCCAAGAAUGAUAUUGCGUUAUGGCCAUUGGUGCCGAUGAAAUGAAUGAUAUAUAAAUGAUUAUGAAAUGAGUAGUAAAUACCUUUAAGCAAUAAAUGCUUUGGGAGUAUCGUUUAUCACCGAGGAAGGGUAGGUCAAAAUAACCUAACCCCGAAACUACACGUGCCGGUGUAGGAGUGAUUAAGGGGUAAAUCCCCGUGUUAAUGUGAUGAGGUUGUUUCCCCUUAUAUGAGAUGAUAUUGGUGUGUUGAGAUAUUUUUCCUUGAAUGGGAUGAGAUUACUGCUAUCAAGAUGUGAUGUGAUGUUGAUCCACACGGCAUUGUGGUAAGAUGGCUUAGCCAGUCAGGCUGAGAUCGGACGCCAUGCCGGCACACAGUAGUAUUAUAGGUAGAUAUAUCGGGGUGAGACGGCUUAGCCGAUCUGGCUGAGAUCGGACUCCAUGCUAAAAACACGGUGGUGUAUCGGUGCUAAGGAUCUUCCAACUUAAAAUAUUGAAACUUAACUGAAAUUUACGUUGCCCCUUGAUCAUAGGCUAAAAACUCGUAUUUUAGUCGUUGUAACAACACUUUAAUUAUUGCAUUUUAUAAAGGUUUGAGCUUAAAUGAUAAUGAAUUGUACUAAAUUAUGCUUUAUGGUUGCAGGAAGCUAAUCAGAAUUAAGAAUUUCAUUUGGGAUGAAUUUGAUUAAUUUGGGACUCUGAACUCUGAGUAAAAGCUAAAUAAAUCAAGUCGGGAUCGUGCUCGGGGGUCGCAAAUCAAGCUGGGAUAGCAAAACUAAUGAAAAAACAAAGCAGCACAAAAACAUUGCAUUGUCGCGCCGCGUGGGGCGCUACAUUGUUCUGCUCCGUUAAAAUGUAUUCUGCCUAUGUCCAAUCCAUGUACGCGUCGCACGGGGCGUCGCACGGGGCGUCACGAACGUGUAAAAAUUGCAGAACUACUCUAUUUCGGUCUAAAAAGGGUAUAAUUGUCAAAAUCCCUUCCUACACGAUUAAAAAAGGUAAAAGCAUCCAUUAUUGGAGGGCAGGCCUGUUCUUGGAGAGAAAAAGAGGAGGAGAUCCAUCUUGGAGGAUCAAAAUCAAGAGGAGACAACACUUUGGAGCAAGGAUUAAAAGAGUUUUUCUAAACCUUCUUCUAGUAUCUAUUUAUUUGAUGUUUAAGACUUAUAUUAUUGACGUUUGUAUAAAUAUGAGUAGCUAAAAACCCCAAUAUUCUGGGGUUAUGGGUGUUAGAUAAUUAUGUUGUUUGAAACUUAAAUUGAUGAUCUUGAAUUUAUCGUUAAGGUUUGUUUAUUUGAUUAUGCUGUUAAUUAUUUUACUGUGUAGCUAACAGUGAAAUACUAUUUACGAAUCUUAAGUUAAACUUGAAAAAGAAAAUUCUUGAUUGCAUACAGAAUCAAAUAGAACAAGAUCUGGAUCCUGGGCAUCGGGUGAAAGAUUCGCGAUUAAGAUAGAACUAUACUUAAUUGCCUUGUUUGGUUGAAAAAUAGGAAUUGUAAAUGCAUUUGAGUUAAUAUUAAUGCCACAGAAAUAUAUGUAUUAAUUUAACUUGAAUAGGUGCAUAAGAAUUCGACAGAUUCUUAUGGAUAUUAUCAACCCUAUAAUCAAUAACCCAGAUAAUUCAAUAAAUCAUUUUAAAGCUAAAAGCGUAGCAUGAUCUCUAGCAAACCCAUAACCCUGGAAUAUCUUUCUUAUUAAUUGUUAAAAGAAAACUCCAUAAAUGGCGUAGUAACUUUGGGUUGUAUUAUUGUUUGACUACUAGUUAAAUUGUAAAUUGGUUAUUUAUGUAUUUUGUGAUGAAUUAGCUUGAAUCGAUAAUUGUUUGAGUUUGCAUCAGUUGAUAAGUUGAUCAUAAGUCCUCGUGGGAACAAUACUUUACUUAUUACUAUAUACAGAGGUAAGGUUAAUGAUGAAGACGCUUGGUUGACGGAAGAUUUUUAUGGCCCGUAUUUUGGGCUAGUCAUGGCCUCCCUCUUGGAGAUCUGAAUUUGAAUACGGGAGUAAGGGUUGUUAUUGGGAUGGAUAUUCUCGAUUAGGGGAAUCUGCGGAACGACGUUGUUUACUAACAACGUUGAUGAAAGAUUGGUCUAAGGAGAGAGAUGAGCUUGCACAAAAAAUUGAUAAUUUUAGAUUGGUUGUGCAUAACUUGGAUUCAGAUUUGAGUGCAAAGGUUGAUGCAUGUAACGCCCAACAAUUUAGUGAUGAAUUCUAUGAAGCUGGAAAAAAAUCUUCUAUACCGAAUUGAGGAGCUAAAACAAGAAUACCAAUCAUUAGAUCAUGUUUUUCUUGAGGAUGUCAAUAUUGAGAAGAGUGCUCUAGAGUCAUGUGAGGGAGUAGAUAAUAUUACUUUAGGGGAAUUGAGUGUGUGUAUAAAUGGGGAUGUAAAUAGUAGUAAAAUUCAUGAGUUAUGGAGCAUUAGACCUCAUUCCAAUCAUUUUUCCACAUUAUGUUUUGAUAGUAAGAUAGUAAUCGAGCCAUCUAAGCCUAUGGGGGAGUCAAAGAGUGAGGGUGAAAGUGCCUAUAUUCUUGAAUUUGUUGUGCCAAAAGCAAAAAUUACAUUCCUCAUCUAAAGGCCGAGAAGUGCCGAGUGAAAAAUUUAUUACUUGGCCUGGUUAUCUUUGUAGUCCCACCAAAUGUGCAUAGCCACAGACUGGAUACCCUGUUAGGGGUACAAUUCAUAAGUUCAAGGUGAAAACAAAAAGUGGUUCACGUCGUACCGCGACGUUAGAUCAGACGCUUGUUGGGAGGCAACCCAAUGACUAACAUCACUAACUUUUAAUUGUAGUUUAGAAAUAUUAGAUUUUAAAAGUUAUGAUGUUUUUAGUCAGGAACAAGCAUGAAUUUGUGCAUUGAAAAUUAUUGUGAAGAUGCGGUGAUGUUAUAGUUGUGAAGUGAGGUAUAUUUGUAUUGUUGAUAUGGUGAAUUUACCUCAUUUCAAGUUGAAAUUUUAAGAAUACAAGAUAUGCUUACAAUGUGUUUGUUAAAAUGUCUAAGUGACAUGAAAUUGAGUAAUGUUGCAAAUUGAGAAAUAAAUUGCAUUGUGAGAUGUUAUUUUUAAUAACAACCAUGACAUUAGGCUACACCAUGAUUUUUCGCUUGCUAGAUAUAAAAUGAUAUGUAGGAUUCAUGCUAAUGUACCUAUGUAGUGUAUUUGUAUAAUAAUUUUGAAUUUUGUAAAAUAGACUAAUUUCUUUUUAUGUUCAUGUUUAAUAUUAAUCUAGCUUAGUUAUAAUAAUAUCAAAAUCUAUCUUAGUUUAUGAUUUUAUUUUUAUUUUUAAUUGUUGCAAUUCUCUCUAAUGAUUGGGUAAGCCGAUAAGCAUUAUAUCAUUUUAAUUAAAGAACAGGGUAGUCUGAAUCCCUGUUCUACAUGCUAAGUGUCAACAUGAUAAUAACAUAAGUGUGGGGUAUUUACUCCAAUUGCUUUUAAAAUGAGUUUUGUGUGUUUUGGCUAAUUAAUCAUGUUGUGUAGGUAUAAUGUCUCGGCGCCCAAGUAAAAGAUCAAAUACUGGCCUAUCUGGGGUUGCAUUUAGUAGCCGACGGUGAGGCAGAAGGGCACCCCCUCUAGCACAUUUGAAGAUGAAGAUGCUUAGGCCAAUGGCCUCAGGUAGUCUCUUUUCUGAUCUAUUUUUGAUCUUUUGCAUUAGGGACAAUGCAAAUUUUUAAGUGCGGGGUGACUUGCCCCUAUUGUAAUGUACUUACUUUUGUAUUUUUGGUUGUUUGAUUUUGUUUAGACUGUUAAACUUUUUGGUUUGGUAGACUAUAGCGUUUGUAGGUAGUAGUGGUACUAAUUUCAAUUUUUUUCCCGACGAUGAAUUUUCUUGAGGGAAAUGAAGUUGAAAUUUGUAAAAUUUAAAAAAAACGCUAUAAAAAAAUUUCUGCUUUUUAUUUCAGUUUAGUGUAUGCUAGUUUUGGUUUAAAUUAAAAUUUUCCCCUUGGUUUUUCUUUACGCCACGGUUCUUUUUCAAAGGUGUAUUUGAACCGGGUAUCGUGUAAUUUUCUAGUUCAAUUGAAUAAAAAGUUCCUAACUCACAGAGUUAAUUUCCUCAAAUGCACAUGCUUCAGAAGUUGUAUGUAUCUUAUUUGUGAUGCUCAAUCUCAGUUCUUGAUUCUAAAGUAAGUGCCUUAAAUUGUGUAUCUAUAACUAUGAUUAACUGCUUUAACUAGAGAGUCGAUAAAGAUCCAAGCUUGAAUGAGUUGUGUGGCAAUGUGUGAGUGAGGUUGCUGAAAUAUUUUGUGCAUAAUAGUUGAUAUCUAGAACUUGCCUUUAAGUGUUUUGCAAAGCGAAAUAGUAGCAUUAUUCAGUUUAGGAGAUGAUAUAGACAUUUCUUUGUUGAACCAGUUUUAUAAUUGUUCCCACCUAGUUUUAUAUAUUUUAGUCAAACCUUUUGAGCCGUUAAUCCUAUUUCUUUGGCAUCCACAUUAUAAGUCUUACCAAUUUAUGUAAAUAUAUCAGUUGUUUGAACUUCUAUCUCUCAUGAGCACUUAGUGUUGUUUUAAUGUUGUUAAAGUUGAGAAGAGAUUUGUUGGUUUAUUUGAAAAAAAAUACAUAUAUAUGUGUGUGUAUAUAUAUAUAGGGGAUGAAUUUUCAUUAGUAACAUUCCCUAGCUUAUGGUGCUUAAAGAGAAUGGGAUUUGCUGUUAUUAUGUAAAACCUCAAAAAGGUUGGAGAUGGUUUAACAAUAAGAGUAAUGCUGAAAUUGUGAAAUGAAAUGGUGUAUGUAUGGAAGUGCUCAAAGAGGUGUAGCUACUAUAUUCUAUAUUUAUCACACUCUUCCUCAGCCUGCAUUACAACCAAUUAAAGUCCUAUUUGAUCCUUGAUUGAAUAAGCUCAAUUAGUAGAGUAUUACACUGGGGGCAAGCAUAUGGUAUGUCAUCUGUUGCACAUGAAUUUCAAUUCUAAGAGUGAGUUAAGAAUUCUUCCUAUUUUGAGUUACUAAAUAUUCGUGAAUACUAUGUUGAGAGGAACUAGUCUAUAUUAGUUGUGGGAGGUCACAUGAUUUGUAAAAGCAAGGAAACGUUUUGACCUUUGUGCUAGAGUAAGUGAGAAAGUUAUGAAAAUGCGUGGCACUUGUGAGUCAUGUCUUGAGGUUGAACUAUUAUGAAUUGGUACUUAAGUGUCAGCAUGUGUUGUUUAGGAAAUUGUUUGAUAAAAAGGUCGUCCUUAUGUGAAAUAUAUGUUAAUUGCUCGAGGACGAGCAAUGGUUUAAGUGUGGGGUGUUGAUCAUAAGCUAAAAACUCAUGUUUUAGUCGUUAUAACAACACUUUAAUUAUUGCAUUUUACAAAGGUUUGAGCUUAAAUGAUAAUGAAUUGUACUAAAUUCAUGCUUUAUGCCUUGCAGGAAGCUAAUCCGACUUAAGAAUUUAAUUUGGGAUGAAUUUGAUUAAUUUGGGCUUUGAAGUCUGAGUAAAAGCUAAAUAAAUCAAGUCGGGAUUGUGUUCGGGGGUCACAAAUCAAGCCAGGAUAGCAAAACAAAUGAAAAAAUGAAGCAGCGCAAAAAAUGCACCAUCGCGCCGCGUGGGGCGCCGCGGCAGUGCAAAAUUUUGCGCUGCAUUGUUCUGCUCCAUUAAAAUGUAUUCUACCUCUAUCCAAUCCAUGUACGCGUCGUACGGGGCAUCGCACGGGGUGUUGCGGACGUGUUAAAAUCGCAGAACUACUCUAUUUCGGUCUAAAAAGGGUAUAAUUGUCAAAAACCCUUCCUACACGAUUAAAAGGGUAAAAACAUCCAUUAUUGGAGGGUAGACCUGUACUUGGAGAGAAAAAGAGGAGGAUAUCCAUCUUGGAGGAUCAAAAUCAAGAGGAGACAACACUUUGGAGCAAGGAUUAAAAGAGUUUUUCUAAACUUUCUUCUAGUAUCUAUUUAUUUGAUGUUUAAGACUUAUAUUGUUGAUGUUUGUAUGAAUAUGAGUAGCUAAAAACCCAAAUAUUCUGGGGUUAUGGGUGUUAGAUGAUUAUGUUGUUUGAAGCUUAAAUUGAUGAUCUUGAAUUUAUCGUUAAGGUUUGUUUAUUUGAUUCUGUUGUUAAUUAUUUUACUGCGUAGCUAACAGUGAAAUACUAUUUACGAAUCUUGAGUUAAACUUGAAAAAGGAAAAUCUUGAUUGCAUAUAGAAUCAAAUAGAACAAGAUCUGAAUCCUGGGCAUCGGGUGAAAGAUUCGCGAUUAAGAUAGAACUAUACUUAAUUGCCUUGUUUGGUUGAAAAAUAGGAAUUGUAAAUGCAUUUGAGUUAAUAUUAAUUCCAUAGAAAUAUAGGUAUUAAUUUAACUUGAAUAGGUGCAUAAGAAUUUGACAGAUUCUUAUGCAUAUUAUCAACCCUAUAAUCAAUAACCCAGAUAACUCAAUAAAUCAUUUUUAAGCUAAAAACGUAGCAUGAUCUCUAGCAAGCCCAUAACCCUGGAAUAUCUCUCUUAUUAAUUGUUAAAAGAAAACUUCAUAAGUGGCGUAGUAACUUUGCGUUGUAUUAUUGUUUGACUACUAGUUAGAUUGUAAAUUGGUUAUUUAUGUAUUUUGUGAUGAAUUAGCUUGAAUCGAUAACUGUUUGAGUUUGCAUCAGUUGAUAAGUUGAUCAUAAGUCCUCGUGGCAACGAUACUUUACUUAUUACUAUAUUACUUGAAGAUCACGUACACUUGCGUGAGUGUUUUGGUCGCAACACCCCUAACUUGACACCUUGAUACUAUUUGAGUCUCCUAUUGAAUUCAUGUUUCCUUCUCCAUUUAAUGUUACUCGUUCUAUUGAGAGGGUGUUUAUUCAUACAUACUAGUACUAUUCCAUAUGUGCUAACGUCCCUUUUGUCGGGCGCGCUGCAUCUUUAAUAGAUGUAGGUGUUUCACACUAGGUGGUGUUGAUCCGUGAUAGCACCAUACCCUCUCCUCAGCUAACUUGAUGAGCCCCACUUUAUUUCGGGGUCUUGUAUCUCUUGUCCUUGUGCAUAGAAUUUUGAGGUAUAGUCGGGGCCUUGUUGACGGCAUUGUCGUAGCACUCUUUUGUUUUUGUUAGAGGCUUUGUGGACACAGUGUGGGUUGUAUUUAGUUUUGGGAAGGUUAAACUGAAAGUGUUGUAAUUGUAUCAUAUGUACCACUUCAACUCUGAAUGUAUAGUGUACUAUUUUGGAGACUUGUUAAUGACGUAACUAAUGGAAAUGAAAUGGUGCUAUUCACAUAACCUCUUAUCGUCUAAUUAAUGAGUAUGUAUCCUUCUCUUUAUUCAUGGGUGAGUUUAGAGGGCAUUGUGCACGCUUGCUCAACUGGGGUAUCUCGGUUGAGCGCCAGUCGCGCUCCCUGAGGUCGGGGCAUGAUAAGCUUGGUAUCAGAGCCAAGGGUUUUAAAGUUUUCUAGGAUUUCUCGGAGCCGUAUCUAGUAAAUUCCUUCUUAUCGUUGUGUUUACAACCACAUAUAUAAUUAGGAGGCUACUUAGGCAUUUAGGAAUAAUACCCUCCCUUGAUGUUCUAGAUCGUGCGAUAAAGCUGAUUGUAAGAUUGUUCCUCCUCUAACUCGUGCAUUGCUCUAACUUUCAGUACAUGACACCUAGGAAGAAAGCAAGAACUAGUCAAGGAGCCAAUGCUGCCCCAGGAGUGGCAUUUGAUUCUUUACCUGAUGAUUCGGGUAAGCACCCGAGGGGUGACAAUAUUCCCUCAACUACUACACUGCCUGAUUCUACUACACCUGACCAGACGAUACCAUUUCUUGCACCUACUUAGGGUGAAACUAUUCCACCAUCGAUUGAUAUUCCAGUUCCAACUCCAGCCCGAACUUCCGGUCCUUGUGUGUCUGAUGGGGAUCUUAGGGGAGCUAUACAGAUGUUGGCUCAGAUAGUGGCUUCCUAGGCCCAAAGAUCGAAUAUGGCACCCACUUCUUCUAGUCAGCCAAAAGAUUCGGCUAGUUCCAGGGUGAACAGGUUUCUCCAGUUGGAUUCUCCAGUGUUCAUCGGUAAUGAUCUUGAGGAGGACCCCCAGGACUUUAUUGAUGAGAUGCAAGACCCUAUAAGUUAUGCGUGAUACUGAGACGGAGGGAGUGGAGUUGGCCUCUUACCGCCUGAAAAGAGUGGCCUAUUCUUGGUUUGAGAUGUGGGAGGAUUCAUAUGAGGAGGGGAGCCCUCCGGCGAGAUGGAGUGAGUUUGUCGAUGCUUUCAUUGAUCAUUUCUUUCCUGUCGAGACUAAAGCAGCCCGUGCCGCCAAGUUUGAGAGCCUGAAACAAGGUAGCAUAAGUGUGUGGGAGUAUCAUAUGAGGUUUGUGUGCCUAUCCAAGUAUGACAUCUACAUGAUGCCCACUAUGGAGGCUAGAGUGCGCCGGUUUAUGCAAGGCCUUAUCCACUUGGUUAUUAAUGAGGCCACUACAAAUGCUUUGAAUUCCGAUAUGAACUAUGGUAAGAUGGUGGAAUUUUCUCAGGUCACAAAGAUCCGCAAGAUAAAGAAUAAAAUGGAGUGAGAGGGUAGCAACAGGGCCCGGUCAAGGGGAAACUUUAGUGGUAAUUCUGGUGGUGGUAGUGGCAGGUCAGCAUUUAGGGGAGGGUUGUUAGGGCCAUCUCAGUCCUUUGCUUAGUCUUCAGUUAUUGCACAACCAUCGGUGCCCAGUCAGUAGCAGUGGAAUUGUUUUAGGCCCAGCCAAGGCAACAGGGGAUCCUACCAGUAAGGUUGACCUAGUGAGAAAUUUCAGCAGCAACAGAGGCCCAUAUGCCGUAGGUGUGGGAAAAUUCACUUUGGGGACUACUUCAUGAACCAACCCAUAUGCUACGGGUGUGGUAUCAGUGGUCACAUUCAGAGGGAUUAUCAUUCAUCCCAUCAGAGCAUGGGCAGGGGUGCAGCACAACCAGCCAGUUCUGCAGCCACUACAUCGGCAGCACCUCCUCCAGCUUGAGGCACUCCCGCACCUGCAGGGCGUGGUGCAGCUAGGGGUGGUACACAGAAUUCAGGAGGACCCAGCUAUUUUUAUGAUAUGAAGGAUCGCUAGAGUUUAUAGGCUUAUCCAAGUGUUGCCACAGGUAUAUUGAAUGUCCAAUCUCAUGAUGUGUAUGCUCUUAUUGAUCCCGGAUCCACUUUAUCCUAUGUUACUAUGGAAUUUGGGAUAGCACCGGAACAAAUUCAUGAGCCAUUUUCUGUAUCUACUCCGGUAGAUGAGUCUAUUAUGGCUGCAUGGGUUUAUCGGGAUUGUGUUGUCAUGUUGUGUGGUUGGGACACCAUGGCCGAUCUUAUUGAAUUGGGGAUGGUGGAUUUUGAUGUACUAAUGGGGAUGGACUAGCUUUAUUCAUGUGUUGCCAAGCUUGAUUGUCGAACUAGGACUGUUAGGUUUGAAUUUCCAAAUGAGUCAGUGAUUGAAUGGAAGGGGGAUAAUGUGGUGCCGAAGGGUAGGUUUAUUUAUUAUUUUAAGGCCACAAAGAUGAUUAACAAGGGGUGUAUUUACCAUUUGGUCCGGAUUACAGACACCGAUAUUGAGUCACAUAUACUUGAGUCCAUGUCAGUUAUGAAUUAAUUCCCUGAGGUCUUUCCUGAUGAGCUCCUUGGGAUUCCACCAGACAGGGAGAUUGAUUUUGGGAUUGAUGUGAUGCCUGGAAUGCAACCUAUAUCUAUUCCACCCUACAAAAUGGCACCAGCAAAAUUGAAAGAACUAAAUGAGAAGUUGAAGGACUUGUUAGAAAGGGGCUUCAUCUGGCCUAGUGUGUCGCUUUUGGGCGCGCGGUUCUCUUUGUAAGAAAGAAAGAUGGGUCACUGAAAAUGUGUAUUGACUAUCGGUAGCUCAACAAGGUUAUGAUCAAGAAUAAGUACCCAACUGCCAAGGACAGAUGACUUGUUUGAUCAAUUGCAGUGUGUAAGUAUUUCUCUAAAAUUGAUUUGAGAUUUGGGUAUCAUCAAUUGAAGAUCAGGGAGCAGGAUAUUCCAAAAAUAGCUUUCAGAACCCGAUAUGGGCACUUUGUAUUUCUACUAAUGUCCUUUGGGCUAACAAAUGCCCCGGCAACUUUCAUGGAUCUUAUGUACCGAGUCUUCAAGAUUUUUCUUAACUCCUUUGUGAUAGUUUCAUUGACGAUAUUCUGGUAUAUUUACGCAGUUGAGAGGAGCAUGCCGAUCAACUCAGAGCAGUUCUACAGACUCGACGUCAGCACCAAUUGUAUGCAAAGUUUUCGAAAUGUGAAUUUUGACUUGAAUCUAUCACAUUCUUGGGUCAUGUCGUCUCCAGAGAAGGAAUUAAGGUUGAUCCUCAGAAGAUUGCAACUGUGAAGAAUCGGCCUAGACCUACUACCCCAAUGAAGAUCUGCAGUUUCUUGGGCUUAGUUGGAUAUUACAGGAAGUUUGUGGAGGGGUUCUCUACUCUUGCCUCUCCAUUGACUAUAUUGACGCAGAAGGUGGUUAAGUUCCAAUGAUCAGAUUCUUGUGAAAAAAGCUUCCAAGAGUUGAAAUCAAGAUUGACUACGGCACCGGUGUUGACCCUGCUAGAGGGUACGGAUGGGUUUGUGGUAUAUUGUGAUACUUAGAGAAUCGGACUUGGGUGUGUAUUAAUGCAACAUGGCAAGGUAAUAGCUUACGCUUUUAGGCAACUCAAGAAUCAUAAGAGAACUAUCCAACACAUGAUUUAGAGCUUGCAGCGGUUGUAUUUGAAUUGAAGAUUUGGCCUCAUUACUCGUAUGGGGUCCAUGUGUAUAUAUUCGCGGAUCAUAAGAGCCUUAAAUAUAUUUCAAAUAGAAGGAAUUUAAUCUGAGGCAGAGAAGAUGGCUUAAGUUACUCAAAGAUUACGACAUCGAUGCUCUAUACCAUCCGGGGAAGGCUAAUGUUGUGGCGGAUUCUCUUAGCCGUAAAUCUAUGGGUAGUUUGGCUCACUUGGAGGCAUAUCAAAGGCCAUUGGCCAAAGAGGUUCAUCGAUUAGCUAGUUUGGGAGUUCGUCUUGCGGACUCUAGUGAAGGAGGGGUAAUUGUGCAGAACAGGACCGAAUCAUCACUGGUUGUGGAAGUCAAGGAGAAAUAGUAUAAUGAUCCAUUGUUGGUACAAUUGGAGGAGGGUAAUCAUAAACAUAAGACUAUGGCUUUUUCUAUUGGCAUGGAUGAUGGUACACUAAGGUACCAAAGGCGACUAUGUGUUCCAAAUAUGGAUGGUCUCCGGGAAAGAAUCAUGACCGAGGCUCACACUUCUAGAUAUUUCAUGCACCCGGGCUCUUCAAAGAUGAAUCAUGACCUUAAGGAAGUCUACUGGUGGAAUUAUAUUAAGAAGAAUGUAACAGACCUUUUGGCGAGAUGUCCAAAUUGUCAGCAAGUAAAGGCCAAACACUCAGCAAGUAAAGGCCAAACACUAAUGGCCAGGUGUGUUGGCACAGAAUAUAGAAAUUCCAAUAUGGAAGUGGGAGAUGAUCAAUUUGGAUUUUGUAGUAGGACUAUCUCGCACUCCUCAUGAGUUUGACUCAAUUUGGGUGAUUGUGGAUCGACUCACGAAAUCAGCACACUUCUAACCUGUUAAGGCUACCAACACAGCGGAGUAGUAUACUCAGUUGUAUAUCAAGGAAAUAGUCAAGUUGCAUGGCACUCCAGUUUCUAUCAUUUCUGAUCGGGGGGCACAGUUCAUAGCUAAUUUUUGGAAGAAAUUUCAGCAAGGAUUGUGUACUCAGGUAAAUUUUAGUAUAACUUUCCAUCUACAGACUGACGGGCAUGCAGAGCGAAGUAUUCAGACACUUGAGGAUAUGUUGCGCACUUGUGUUCUUGACUUCAAGGGUAGUUGGGAUGAUCAUUUUCCACUCGUAGAAUAAUUAUCAUGCUAGCAUUCAAAUGGCACCGUUCGAGACUUUAUACAGUAGGAGAUGUAGAUCUCCCAUCGAAAGGUUUGAGAUUAGGGAAGCAGAGUUGAUAAGGCUAGACCUCGUGCAUCAGGCUAUGGAGAAAGUUAAGAUCAUUAAGGAGCGGUUGAAAACUACCUGAUAAGUGGGGAUUUUGACUGCUUAUUAGCGCCUUUUAGCUUUUAUUUUAGUCUAAAGCAUUGAAUUGUGUUCCCGAAAUUGAUGAAAUUGUGCAAAAUUGUAGGAAAGAUGGAAGUUGAUCUUCCAAAGAUGAAAUCCGACUCAAAAAAGAGUAUUCUGAAGCAUAAGUCAAUAAAAGGCACAUAAGUAUAGAUGUGCGGUCCGUAGAAGAAAUUGCGGACCGCAAAAUUCCAUUUACGGCCGCAAACCAAGAGGAAGAAUUUAGCAUACAUUUGUACAAAGCUGGGCUAAUAGUCGAAGAUGAGAGAGUAUGCAAAAAGACCAAGUCCAGGAGCCUCUAUGAAUUGCAGAGCGCAUAAGAAUUGUGCGGCCGCAGAAAAAUGCCUUGCAGCCGCAGUCCUAAUUGGGCAGACCGCAGAAGAAGUGCCUUGCGACUGCAAUCUAGAAGUGUGCGGCCGUAGAAUAUUGCCCCGUGGUCGCAGAACUCCAGUUCCUGCCAGAUGAAGAAAUCUGCGGACCGCACAUGGAAUUGUGCAGCCGCAGAGCCUCCCGAAGGGCAUUUUUGUUCGAGAUUUUUAGCCUUGUAUAAAUAGACGAGUUUCAUAAAUUAGGUCAGGUUUUGAACAUCUGAAGUUGAUGUAGCCGUUUUUCUUUACUACUUUAGGAAUUUUUGCUUUAUUUUGAUAUUUUAACAUUAGAUUUCUUUAUUUUAAUCUUCCAAUAUGAAUUUAAAUAGUUUUUCUUCUCUAUUUUUUGUAAUUUCUAUUAUGAGUAGCUAGACUUUUACUAGGAAUGUGACCCAACUCUAGCAUGUAAACCUUAUGGGUGAUUAAUUCAGUGCUUGUUGAUGAUUGAGUGUUUAUUAUUUAGCUUAGUUCAUGCUUCAAUUAUAAAAUUGAUAGUUGCAAACAGUGAUUCAUGCCUAUUUGACUUAGUCUCUACUUGAGAAAGAAGGACCUAAUCUAGGAUAACUUAGCUAACAAGGAAUUGGGUCAAUUGAGAGAUUGAUUAACCCAGUUAAAGGAUUUAACCUAGAGAUUGUAAAUAUUUGACUUGAGCUCUUAUAGAUUGUUUUGGUAGAUACCUAUUUGGUCUUGAGAAAGCCAAAUUGGUUAAAACCGCUCUCUGACCGAGAGGUAUUGAGUGAGUAAUGUAGAGUUGUGAGCUAUUUUACAGUGUACACCCCAAUCAACUACAUAAGCAUUAAUGUCUUUACCCCAUUAGGCAAAAACCUAGGUUAUACUCAAAGCCCUAAGCCUUUAAUCCAAUUAGAAAAUCCUUAAAGAAAAUCAUAUCUAGUCUCUUAUCUUUAUUUUGCAAUCAUUAGAUUAACAUUAUAAAUAAGAACAAAAAGAUCUUGUUGUAGAAGUGCAAUCUAGAUAGCCCAUAUGCUUACUUCGAAUAUAUACCCCUAGCUCCCAUCAUAACUCCCAGUGGAUUCGACCCCGACUCCUAGUUGGGUAUUUAUUAUUGCAUACGAUCGUUACAUAUCUCUAUUGAGGUAUGCAAUUAGAUGUGAUAUGAGUCGCAGGGAUUUGGAGUUCCAAGAGGAUGACUGGGUAUUCUUGAAGGUUUCCUCAUGAAGGGGGUGAUACAAUUUGAUAAGAAAGGGAAAUUGAGUUCGAGGUAUGUCGGACCGUACAGAAUCAUUCAGAGGGUUGGUCAGGUGGCUUACAGGCUAGAACAACCUCCAGAGAUGUCUUUUGUGCACCUGGUGUUUCACGUUUCCAUGUUGAAGAAGGUGGUUGGAGAUCUGUCACUUAUUGUUCCAGUUGAGACUAUUGAGGUUAAUGAGGAAUUAACUUAUGAAGAAAUUUCAGUUGCCAUUCUUGAUAGGCAAGUCUGUAAGCUGAGAAAUAAAGAAGUUGCCUCCGUGAAAGUACAACGGCGAAAUCAAUAGGUUGAAGGGGCCACCUGGGAGGCUGAGGAAGAGAUGAAGAAGAAGUACCCUCAUUUGUUUGAAUAGCUAUGUACUCGAUUUUAUGAAACUAUUCCCUAUGAAUUAUGUAUCAUUUGUACAGUUUAUGCUAAGGGUGUUCCCUUCUGAUAAUAUAUUGCUCAUGAGGUCACGGUUGGUGCUAAUUCCAUGUCGUAUUGCGUCGUUGGGUUAUGUACAUGUUGUUGGUAUUGGUUUCUAGAAUUUUCUUACACGUGGAUAGGUCCAGUUACAAGGAAAAUUCAGGCAAAAUUUAUAAAAAAUUCAGGGAGUUAGUCAAAAUUUGGAAUUGCUCGUAUGAUAUAGCAACUGAGUCACAUUGGAUGCUAAUGGUAAAUUUUGACCCUCAUUCGAGGAUGAAUAAUCUUAAGCAGGGGAGGAUAUAAGGCCGCAACAAAUUUUACCUAAAACCUAGGGUUUCGUGGUUCCGAGGUAGACGUAUGUGUUGAUGAUUAUAGCCGUGGUACGGACUUUUUGGGUUGAGCAGCGCGUUGGGGAGUUGAAGAAAUUUUUUGGCAGAGUAGGGUAUUUCUGUAGUCCACUAUGUAACCGCAGAUAUGCCGCAGAGUGAAGCAUAGAACUGGGCAAACUUUGGAUGAUAUUUUGCCGUCGAUUUCACAGCCCAUUAAUCAUUUUGCGGGCCGCACAAUCCAUCGCAUAUCCACCGUAAAAAUUUCCGGAUGAAUGCGACCGCAGAAUUGAUCUGCGGACCGCAGACCUGUCGCAGAGUAAAGCAGAAAUGCCCAAUUUCGGAGGGCCAUUAUGCGUCCCACUUUGCGGACUGCAUGAGUGUUAUGCAGUCGUAUAAGGUUUCAUUUUUCUAUUUUAUAAACCCGACCCCAUUCUUAUAAAACAAUCUUAGGGAUUAUUUUAGAAGGUUCAAACUUAUAUUUUAGAGAGAGGAAGGUGGUCUAGAGUGGGAAAAAGAAUUUCUAAGUCAUUUGUUCAUCAAUCUUUGCUCAAGCCUUGAAGAUUUCACAAGGGUAACUCCCAAGGUCUUAAACCAAAAGGUAAGGUACUAGCCCUAGCAUUCAAUUUUGAGAUUUAACUGAAAUAGAUAAUAAGUCAAGCAAUUCUUGGGUGUGGGAGUUAUUCAUUAUGCAUGCAUGUACUAUCAAGGAUUGUGGGAAGAUUGUUGAGCUCAAUUGGCUAGACUUUGGAUAGUGAAAUGAAGGAAUCCACCAUGGAAGACCUUGAAAUCAUAAUGGCCACCUAGUGUUCGAUAAAAUGCUCAAAUGAGCUGGAGCCAUGAACGCCUUUCUAAUUUUGGUUCAAUUUUGUUAUAUUUCUAAAAGAUCGAAGUUGCUAAGAUUUUGGAACUGUAGUGGAUUAAGGAAAGCUCAAAGCGAGAUAUGUUGGCUAAACCUCUCUCUUAGAACUAAAUCUCACAACUUCGCUAAGUUCCGAGUUGUUCAUUAUAUACUCGAUAUUCCGAAUAAGUUUGGUAUCGAAAGGUAUAUAUAUUUGUGUAUGUGUGUGUGUGUGUUCAAAAUGUGGUUCAAAUAUUAUUAUGAUAUCAUGUUGUUCUUGGGGGGCGUGUUCAAAGCAUGAGUCAUGUAUUGAAAUAUUGUGACUUCAAGUCAAGUUCAAAUGAAAGACGUUGCGUCAAAUUGUAUAAGAAAUCUCCAUGUGCUUAUCACCCUUAUGUGCUCACUUGUAUAUUUAAAAGUCUAAAGUUGAAAAGCCUUGUUGUUGAAUUACCCAUGAUGAUAUUUGAAAGUGAAAUAAUAGAGCAUAAAAUAUGAUGUGCGGCCAACAUGCCAAGAAUGAUAUUGCGUUAUGGCCAUUGGUGCCGAUGAAAUGAAUGAUAUGUAAAAGAUUAUGAAAUGAGUAGUAAACCCCUUUAAAAAUAAAUGCUUUUGGAGUAUCGUUUAGUCACCAAGAAAGGGUAGGUCAAAAUAACCUAAGCCUAAAACUACAAGUGUCGGUAUAGGAGUGAUUGAGAGGUAAAUCCCCGUGUUAAUGUGAUGAGGUUGUUUCCCCUUAUGUGAGAUGAUAUUGAUGUGUUGAGAUGUUUUCCCUUGAGAGGGAUGAGAUUAUUGCUAGCAAUAUGUGAUGUGAUGUCGAUCCACAUGCCAUUUUGGUGAGACGGCUUAGCCGGUCGGGCUGAGAUCGGGUGCCAUGCCGCACACAUGGUGGUAUUGUGGGUGGAUGUAUCGGGGUGAGAUGGCUUAGCCGAUCGGGCUGAGAUCGGACUCUGUGCUAAAAAGGUGGUGUAUCGGUGCUAAGGAUCUCCCAACUUAAAAGAUUGAAACUUAAUUUAAUUUUCCUUGCCCCUAACUUGACACCUUGAUGAUUUCAUAUUUCCUUCUCUACUGCUACUCGUUCUAUUAAGAGGGUGUUUAUUCGUACAUACUAGUACUAUUCAAUAUGUACUAACAUCCCUUUUGCCGAGGGCGCUGCAUCUUUAAUGGAUGCAGGUGGUUCCACAACAGGUGUUGUCGAUCCGUGAUAGCAGCAUACCCUCCCCUCAGCUGACUUGGUGAGCCCCACUUCAUUUCGGAGUCCCGUAUCACUUGUCCUUGUGCAUAGCAUUUUGAGGUAUAGCCGGGACCUUAUUGUCGGCACUGUCGUAACACUCUUUUGUUUCUGUUAGAGGCUUUGUGGACAUAGUGUGGAUUGUAUUUAAUGUUUGGAAGGUUAAACUGAAAGUGUUGUAAUUGUAUCAUAGGUACUACUUCAACUAUGAAUGUAUAAUGUACUAAUUUGGAGACUUGUUAAUGACGUAACUAAUGAAAAUGAACCGGUGCUAUUCACAUGACCUCUUACCGUCUAAUUAAUGAAUAUGUAGCCUUCUCUUUAUUCAUGGGUGAGUUGGGUAGAUGGUAUUGUGCAGGCUUGCUCGAUCGGGGUAUCUCGGUUGAGCGCCGGUCGCGCUUCCUGAGGUCGGGGCGUGACACAAUUUCUAUCUUAUCUUUAAUUUCUUCAAUUACGUACUUAGAUUCGUAUCAACUACUCCAACCAUUGUCUUAAGGUUUAGAGAUAAAUACACAUCCUCGUCUCCUGUUGCUUUUUUUUAGCCGAGGGUCUCCUGGAAACAGCCUCUCUACCUUUCGGGGUAGGGGUAAGGUCUGCGUACAUAUUACCCUCCUCAGACCUCACUUGUGGGAUUAUACUGGGUCGUUAUUGUUGUUGUUGUAAAGCAAAGCUUUGGUAGACCUGUUUGCGACAACAGUUUUUUCUCUUCAUCUAUAGCUUUGGACUUCAAUUCUCUCCUUCAAUGUGUCUAAUUCUUUGAGAAAAAAGAUCUAAAUUUACCUCUAAACUUUUGACUAUGACGUUUAAAGUUACUCUCAUUUGGAGUUCAAGGCCAAAAGUGAGACAUUCCUAGCGACGGGAGUAACAUUAGACAAAAAGUUUAAUAGAUCAAUAUUGCUUAAUUUUAAAUAGUUCAAGGGCAAUUUCAAUAGAUAUUCAUAAGAGAUAUUCUAAACUACUGUACAUAGUCAUAUUGUCCUUUGGCACAAUCAGUUUUGAAUUUGCUUUAUUACACUCAUGAAAUUAUGGCCUAAACUGCACCACUCUUACACAGGGAAUUACGGUUUUCAGCCUCUGAUUACUUCCUGAAAAAACAACUUUUUCCAUGCCUGCUGCUAAUGAUACUUGUAGUGAUACACCUAAUCUCCCAAUUACUAUUGUGCAUUAUCUAGCGAAGAAUAAAAGAAGAAACAACUUUGAAGGUGACAAAAUUCUAGGUUGUACGUACCACCAGCUAAUAAUCAAUGCAGAUUACAUUAAAAAGGAACGUACCCAACAUAAUGAAUGUCAUUAAGUGAGAGAAGCAGUAAAGCAUUGCCAAAGGAUGCUAUAAAGUCGCUGAAAACAAUGUAACACAAUGAAACGUUGGGUUAUGAAACAAAGAAAGCUAUAAAUUUACUACAACCAGGACCUCAAAGUGCUCUGUGAUUCUCUCUUAUGCAAAACUUUGUGCACAGCUCUCUAAGCGCGGACCCCCCUGUUAAGAUUAACCAUGCGACCUGAUCCAUCCAUCUGACUUCCCCUCGCACCUCCACCACUCUGAUAUCUUGAGCCUUGACCACUGUAAGUCCCCCGCGCCUGAUUAGUACGGUCCCUCGAUGCUUGCCCAGAAGCUGAUCUACCACCGACAUAUCCUGUUCGGCCACCACCGCCACCUUGUCUGCCUUGUGAGAAGGAGAAGUCCUGCCACUUACCAGCACCAGCAGCUGCAGAAGCAUAAUCUUGGCCGUCCCUGCGCUUCAGGGGAAUGCCCUCCAAUCCACCACCACCUAUCCUCGAUUCUGUUGCUCUUUCAUUACUUUCUGCUAAUACUGACAGCUUUUCCGUCAACUGGAAUGCCAAAGCCUGCAGUCUUGUAUGCUCAACAUCGUGAAAGACCAUGCAUCGGGAUGGUUGAUCCCAGCUUGCAUGAAGCUCCUCAGAAAUCAUCAUUUUGCUCACGAUGCUAUGGAUCUGUGAAUCUGAAAGGUCAAACAUCCCUGCAAGCUGAUCCAAAUUCACAGAAUUAUAAGAAGAAGAAUAUGUGAAAAGAUAGGUCCUCAGUGCCUCUUCCUUUAUUUUGCCCCUAAGCAUCUUAAGAACACUAUCCUUGUUGCGAAGCAGCCUCCACACGUCAAGGGAGUUGAUAACAUCAAAAGCCUUUUCAAAGUUUCCUUGCUUGAGGGCCCUUGUCGCUGCCAUUACAUGGUCCCUCACAUUUUCAGGUGGGCCGGUAAAAGUUUGCCUCU